AAAAAUGAAUGCAUAAAUGGAGUUAAUGCAAAUAAACAAUUUGAUGAAUAGCAAAAAAUUUAAUUAGACUGCAAUAAAAUUUGAAACUUGGUUUUCCAUUGCUGCUAAAUGACUUGAAUUUUUUUCUUUUUCAAAUUUUUAAAUUUUUUAUUUUUUGAACUUCUCAUAUGUGUUAGAUGUUGUUGAUACAAGAUAGAUAAACUGAUUUAUCUUAAUUGACUUAUCAUGUUUAUAUUAAGUUGUUGAUUUUUAGUUGAUUAGUCUUUUAUUAUUCAUAAUUUACACGUAUAUACAACAAAUAUUAUAUGUCAUUAUCAUUAGACAAAAGAAUAAAAUGAAACAAAGCAAAUUGAGGUAACAAAGGCAUGUGCCAAAUUAAUUCUAAGUAGACAAACAACUUUUAUACGAAAAGGGUUAUGAGCUCGGGACAUGUGAGUGUAUAGCGUCAGGAUAUUUAACUCUUUGUACUUUAAUUUUUGGUCUACGAAUUUACAUGUGAAUUAUUGUUGCACUUAGAAGUUUGAAAAUGGGUGUUAUCAUACUCAAUAUCACAUUCUCAAAAUAUAGAAAAAAAGGCAUCAAUGAAAGAAUUCAUGAAAAGGGAACGUGAACGUGAAGUUACAUUGGAUCAUUUAAUGGAGGAAUUAAUCCAGUAAUACAAAAUGGAUGUACAUACAUCAAAAAUGUUAAUUGUAGAACUUACAAUUCUCCUUAAAUCACGAAUUUAAAUUUGUGGCAACUGUUGGUAACACAAGAGGAUCAUAAAGUACAAAAUCACCUCAAAAGGAAUAUAGCAUAAAUCACAAGAGAAAUCACGUGAAAAACCUCACAAUGAUAAUAAAAAAUGAAUGAACAGAUCGAGUUAGUGCAAAUAAAAAAUCUAAUUUAGUCAAAUUUUCCUAGUCAAGUAACUCCAAGAAGCGUAAGGUCGAGUGAUCCUUGAGCAUCAAAGGGGAUAAAAGAAGCAUAGGAUGGAUUGAAGUUUCAAGCAGCAAUGUAGUAGCAUUUUGAGAUCAUUGAUGGGAACCGUCACGGAUCUUCUCUAAAUUAGCCAAUUGAUCUACUGCUGAUUCCAAUAACUAUUGAACUAAUGAACUUAGGAACGAUAAAGCGUAAACUAGAGGACAAUAAAUACUUUGAUGCAGAGGAAUUUGCUAAUGAUGUUAGGUUCAUUUUGUCAAUGCGAUACACAACAAUCCUCCUAGGAACUAUGCAAAGGAAUUGAAUGAUGAUUUCAAGAGAUGGAAAUUACAGCAGACAAAAUUGAAGUGCACGGUAGGAAUCUCGAACGGUUAUGCAAUGUAGAGGAAGUGGAAAGAAUGGCCAAGAUACAAACCCAUUAUAAAAAAGAAAGGCCAAAAUGCAAAACAAUCUUGCCUUAAUAAAGCUUUACGGCCACAACAGGCCAGUCUUUUAAGAGCAAAAGCAAAAUUUGAGGAAAAAAGCUUUUGAAAAUAUCAAGCAGAAAGAUAGUUGAAGCUUUAAGGUCGGUGUUCGAAAAGUUUUGUAUGGCCAGAUUGAGAGAAGAAAAACUUGAUUCUUAUAUUGACAUUAUCGACAAUUAAACUUUUCCCAAGCUAGACAGAAAGAGCAAUAAAGAUUUCUUCGGAUGAAAUAAAAAGGAAAGGUGAUAAAUUCAAUGUCGCAGACAAUUCAGCUGUAUGGUAUGAUUCUUUCUUCUUUGAGAUAGUCUGCAUUAUUUUGAAGCUGAAGAUUCCUUGGUAUUUUGAUGUGAACCAACUGCGUCUUGAGCAACAUCUACUGAUCAUCAAAAAAUAAAAAAAGUAAAAUACAAGUUAAGAAUAAUGCUAUCGAUCACUAUUGGUGCUAAAACACUAGUUUAAUUUAUUUUAGUUUAGUUGGCAUUAAAGGGUAAGUCCAAUUAAAGUUAACUAUAUGAACGAAUAUAUAAUCUAUUUAACUGGACUUAUCGUGUUUUAAAGCCUCUAGUACCGAAUGGCGUUUCUACUCACAUGAUAAUAAAAGCCCAGUAAGGCAAAAAUCGUACGUAAAGUUUCAAAGGUUCAUAGGAAGGAAAAUUUUUUUAACACAAAAAUAUGACAAUACAUCAUAAUGUUAAAUCAAGGAUAUGCUUAGAUCACCUUCAUGCUCCUGCCUUUCCAGUCUUCCCUUUUCUUUGUGCCCAUUGAUAGGAUUAAUCUUCUCGUCCUGAACAAAAAUCAACAGAACAGAGAUAUUAGUAAGUCCACAAAUCGAAGAGAGCUCAACCAACCUAGUAUCUAUUCCGAAAUUUCUGCAAGCCAUAAAAAUUCAUUAAAUGAUUCAAGAGAGUCAUGUGUAGCUCUGAAUAUAGUUGUAACAUAUGAACUAGUGAAGACCAUUAUAAAACAAAUACAUAAGAUAAAUCAAGUCUUCAUAUUUCCAAGGUUCAAUAGCUCGGAUCUUGGAAUUUGGUGGGGGCAAACUUACAUCAUUUUCUUACAUCUACAACAUUGCAUGCAUGUAUCUGUGUGCCCAUGGGAGUAAGACAAGACUCAUAAUCAGAUUCAGAAAAAUGAAAGAUUUCCAUCAAGCCUGGUUAGAAACAAGAUAUCUCUCAGCAUUGGGAGAUAAAAUGAGGGAACAAGAAGAACUCCAUGAGCUCAAGCUCAUCCAAACACCUACUUCAGUAGGUCUUAAUUGGAAACAUUUUCAUGUCCUAAACAUCAUUGGCAGUGACGUGUCAAAGCUCAAACAAUAAAAAAACUAGCUACACGAUUACAAACAUAUAAUUAACAGCUUUUGCUCUCACCAUUAGAAUCCAGCUUCAAUCAUCUUGUAUGGGAUGUCACGGGAUAUUUAAGCUGACGAUCCUAAUUAAAAAGUAGCGACAAUCAGCCAAAAGUUGCAUAUUAUAUUAAAUAAAACUAUUUGGUGAAACAAGAACAGGCUGAAACUUCCAGAUAUAGAGUCACCAUAGUGAUUACAAUCAUGAUCUUUCUGAAGAAGAAACUGAAUAAAAAUGAAAAGCACUCCAAAUUGGCUGACAGGAACACAAAUGGAACCUACUAACAGCUGAUACAAGAAUUUAACUCACCACUGAAAGAUGGCUCAACAGAACAUCUAAGGCUUCAUUGGCACAUCAGACUACCACUUGCAGCACAUUCGACUGCAGGGAAAUCAAAUGGUUGUUUUCUAUUGGAAGCAGCAAUGCACAUUGAAUGCCAUUAUCUGCAUACAAGAUACAUGGCUAAUCAGGUCAUGAAAAGAACCAAAAAGUACAAACUCAUUCUGUCAAGUCUUGAUCUUAUGAACAGUUUUCACUAACGUGACUUUGUGUAGUUCUUGCAGGCUUCCUCUGUUGAGAAGAACCUACAGAAUCAAGGAUUUAUGUAAAGAAAGGUCUAGUGACAACUACCAAGGAUCAACAUAACUUGGAUAGAGCAACGAAGGCAGGACAACAUUGUGGCAAUCCCAAAAAUAAAAAAUAAAAAUGGAGAGAGAUAGAGAAACUACACAGAAUUGAUAAAGGAAGAAAGAAUCACACAACCAAAUUAUCUGCACCAUUAAAUUUACUCACCUUUUCUUUCAUUGCAUCCAAAGAACCUUUAUCUCUCUUUCGUUCCAGCUUCAAUAAAAUUUCAUUGUCAAUCACAUGAAUAUAAGAACCAUCUUUUUCUUCUUUCAAUCUGGCCAUAAAAAACAUUUCGAACAUGAAACUUAUAGUUUCCGUCAUCUUUUUGCUCGAUAUUUUCAAAAGCCCUUUUAAUCAAAAUUUUCUUUUACUCCAACGACAUUGGCCGCUGUUCCAAAGACUGAUGUUCCCUCAAGAUUUGUUAGGCGAGACUGAUUUGCAUUUUGGCCUUUCUUUUCUAUAAUGGCCUUUGUAUCUUGGCCAUUCUUUCCUAUUCUAUCUGCAUCGCAUAACUGUUUGAGAUUUCUUCACGUGUACUUCAAUUUUGUAUUGAAUAAUUUCUAUCUCCCGCUGAAAAGAUCAUAUUCAAUUCUUUCGCAUAGUUCCCAGAAGGAUUAUAACAUAUCGCACUUGAAAAAGUCAGCCUAAUAUCACUAGCAAAUUCCUCAUCAUAAAAGUAUUUAUUGUCCUCUAGUUUACGCUUUAUCGUUCCCAAAUUCAUUGAUUCAAUAACUAAAAUAAUCAGGAAUCAACUUCACAUGAUCAACUGGUUGUUUGUAAACAAAUCUGUGAAGGUGCUCCAUCGAUGAUUCUCAAAAUGCUACCACACUGCCGCUUGAAACUUCAGUCCAUCCUCUAUUUUUUCCCCUUUGACGCUUAACAAUCACUCCAUGCUUGCAUUUGCCUGACCAGGAAAUUUUUAAUGAAGUAGAAUUUCAAUUUGCAGUAACUCUGUUUCUGUAUUCAUUAUUCACCAUCACUGAAAUGUUAUUCAUGUGAUUUCCGCUUCUUAUUCAUGCCGUAUUCCUCUUAAGGUGAUUUUGAACUUUUCGUUGCUCUUCAAUGUCAUUCAUACCUGCCAUAAUGAAGAAUAGCAAGUGCUGAAGUGAGGAACAGACGAGAUUUCCGUGCUGAUUUUAAACAACCAUAACCAUUGAACUCAACAACACAUUGCAUACCAUGAGUUCAUCACAGAGCUUACUAUUGGAAACUAACAUAUAACAAAAAAUGUAGACAGUGAUCUAGCACGUAUGUAUAAACAUAGAGAGUGAUACACAAAAUUGAAUUUUAAUGAUAAAGUGCCACCUCCACCAGGCAGAAUUACUUCCAUUUAUGAGCUUCCCAAUAGAUUACAUUCACCGGUUUUCACCAAAAGCAUAAGUACAAAGAAAAAAUAUAAAUUUAAAAUUAGAAAUAACACAGGUAGACACAAACUAAAUGCUACGACUAUCACUCACUUUCAAAUUUCAAAGAUCUGCACAGGUUCCGUUAAAAUUUAAUAAAAACUCCGUAGCUUUCUAUUAUUUGUAAAGAAACGCACUGGAUUUUCCAAACCAAGAUAGUAUUCCCCAACUUCAUGAUUCGUGAAUACUCCAACUGGCCACGAACUGCAUUCGAACACCACAGUGGUACCGUGCAAUAAUCCAAUUCUUUAGAAUGAUGAUAAUGAAAAUGAGAGAGAAAGUUGAAUAGAAGGGAUUUUUCUAUGAAGAUGGAAAAUACAGAAGUCGAGAGGGAAGAUCAAAAAAUUGAAUUCAGGGAUAGAUCAGAUAUGGGAGGGGAAUUGCAGACGGAGUCGCGUAGACAGCAGAUGUGAAGUGGAAUGCAGAUUUGCAGCCGAUGGAGAGGGAGAAUUGGGGUUUGGGUGCGGGAUGGUAUAAAUUGGGUUUGGCAAAUUGCGGUUAAAUUUUCAGUGAAAAGUAUUUGGGUCGUGGGUAAUGGGCUUCAAUUGAACGCUAUUAAUUCAGGAAAUAAAAUGGAUCCAUUUGAUUGAAAAUAUAGAAUUGAAUUGAAUUGAAAAUGAAUUUCAGGAAUUGAAUAAUUUAGAAAUUAUUUUUUUGAAAUUGUAAAUUAUUGUAUUUGAUUGGUAUAAUUUUCUACGUGAAAAAUGUUGAAAUAAAAUUUUAAUUUUGAUUUUUCAUAAAUCAUCCCAUCUCAUUUCAUCCCGUCCUAUCCAUCCCACCCACCCCAUCCCAUCCCACCCCAACCCUAAUUUAUCUUCACCCAUCACAAAAAAUGAGCUCUGCCUCCACACCACAAUUUGAUCCUUGUUCCCAUAGACAUUGACGACAACACUGGAAUGCACGAUAGCAAGGCUACUUUGUGAUGGAAACCUAGUUUAUUUUCACCAGUCACAGAAAAUGAGCUCCUCCUUUGCACUGCAAUCUUAUCUCUGCCUCCACAAAUAAUAGCGAUAGUAGUGGAAUGCACGACAGCAAGGUUACUUCGUGCUGGAACCCUAAUUUAUCACACAUCACAGAUAAUGAGUUCUGCCUCUACACCAAAAUCUGAUCCCUGUCCCCCACAGACACUGGCGAUAGCGGUCAAGACGGAAUGAACAGCAAAAACCUAUUUUACAAUGGCAGCACGCAGCUACUUGAACUCGCAAUGGUGAUGUAUGUCAUUGCCUAUUGCAGAUGUGCGUUCGACAUUCAUCAUCCCUCGUCGCUGGCCUUCUCAUUUUUCGGAUUAGAGGCAUAUCAGAAUUUCCUCUACAUUCAUUGUUUAUCAGAGGCCUUCUUGCCGCCUAGCUUUGUUUUACAGUGGUACCCAUCAUCGCUUCACAUUCAAUGCUCAUUGCUGGCCUUCUCGUCAUUUUGAUCAGAGGUAAAUCGAAAUUUCCUCAACAUUUGUCGCCCAUCAUAGGCCUUCUUGUCGUCUGGCUUUGUUUAUCUCUUCUUUUGAUUUUGUGGUGGCCUGAGUUUUGGGAUGGAUUUUGUGUGUAUUGUAGGUGUAGAUGCACGGUGCUUGUUUUAGAAUUUCGUUAGUGGAACUAGUGGUUGUGUUAGUGGUGAUGUGACAUCGUUGUUGGGUGUGUGGUAAUGGUGCAGGUACGGUGGUGGUUCAUUUGUUGUUGGUUGGAGUUGUAGUAGAUGUCGAAGUGGUGGGGUGGGGAGGCGUGGUGUGGUGUGGUGUGGUGUGGUGUGGUGGAGGUGAUGGUGGUGGUGGAUUAGAGGAUGUGGUGGUGGUGGUUGUUGAGGAGAAGUAGUAGGUUAGGAAUACUGAUGAUGGUUCUUUGGAGGUGGAGGCGGAGGAGGUGGUUGGUGUGAGAUAGAGGUGGUGGCAUGGCAUGUCGUGGUGUGGCGAAGUGUGGAUGGUGGAGCGGAGUGAGGUGAGUUGAAGUGCAUUUGUGAUCAAUUGGUGGGUUGAUUGUGACCUAUAAAAUGAUUAAUUUGUGAUUAAUAAAUAAUAUGUGACAUACAAAAUAGAUAAUUUGUUGCAAAUAAAUAAUAUAUGAUCUAAAAGUGUGAGAUUGUGGAUAAGUUUGCAAGUGUGAUUCAUAAUUGUUAAGUUUGGAUCAAUUAAUAUGAUAAUUUGUGAUCAAGCUUUUAACCAAAUAAUUUGAUAAUUUGUGAUCGUGAAAUAAGUUCUGACUUAUAAAAUUUUUAAUUUGUGGCUAAGAAAUAAUGUGUGACAUAUUAAUUUGAUAAUUUGUGAUCGAUAAAUAAGUUGUAACUUUUAAAAUUUUUAUUUUGUGAUUGUGAUUAGUACGUAAUUGUGACAACAAACUAUAUAAUAUUGUGACCUAAUUUAUUUAAUUAGUAAAAUAUUUUUAAUUAUCUAUUUAAUUAAUAAAAUUGGAAUUACGACUUGAUUUUUGAAACUUAAAAAACAAGUUUCUCAAUUUCAAAGUUGUAUCUUGUAACUAUCUUAGAUAUGCUCCCAAUUUUUAAUAGGAAAAAUUAGGCCCACAAGCCUAAAAAUAUGAAGUUGAAAAUAAGUCCUUAAUUUCACAAAAUUGAAAUGUACAUCUCGGUAAUAUUAAUCUCUCUUGGUGUAAAGGAAAUUAGGUCAAAUAGCCUAUUUUAUAAUACAUUUUGCAAGUUUAGGAUGUGACCUGAAUAAAAGUUUUGUAAUAAAUACUAUAAAUAAAAAUUGAUAAACUACUUAAAUUACUCGCAUUCAUUUAGCACAAAAAAAUUUCCCCUUCCUUUCCAAAUCGAUCGAAACCCUUUCAACACCAAAUUCAUCUCUUUUCUUUCAAACAUCACCACACUUUCCCCCCAUUUUAAACACCACCAUCCAAAAAAUCCUUCAUCAUCUCCUUAUAUUCUUCUGUAUCUUUCCUCUAAUCGAGUUUAUGUGUAAUUAUUCUUCCAUUUCGAACUUUACCACCACAGCGGAACACCCACGAACUGGUACACCUACAAUGCGAACAACCGUCAUUGCAAACAACCAAUUCAAGGAACCAAUUUCUUUGUUUUCUAUCAUCACGUAUAAAGGUUUCAUCAUAUCCAUUGUUACUAAGAUUUCGUGCAAAUUUUUGUAGAAAAUGUCGACAUUUCGACAUGUUAAUUUUUUGUUAUUGUAUCCUAUUUAGCUGAUUUUUCUUUGGGUGCCAAUGAAAAUGUGAGUUUUCAAUGUUUUAAUUAUUGGGUGAUUUGGUUAAUCUUUUUUCUUUUAAAAUACUCUUUUGUGUAGUUUAUUGAUCUCAAAGUUUUGGAAGACUAAAAUUUUAGGGUUUUUGGAUCUUUGAACAUAAAUCACGACUAUGCUACCAGUGUAAUUUAUGAAAAUAUUUUUUUAGAAAUGCUCAAAAUUAGGAUUAUUGCUACUUUGAUGUAGGACUUAUUGGAACAAUUAGAUACAUUGCCUCAUUGUGACCUCAUUGUUUCCAAGUGAAAAUGUACGAGUAAUAAAUAUAGCUACUUAACUUAGCCUCCAUUUCUUAAGAGAGUGGUAAUGAAUUUAAAAGUAGGUUGUAGAAUUCAUCGACUCAUUUUUUUUUGACUUUUUUAAUGGUUAUGGCAUACUAUGCUCAUAUGCUAAUGUUUUGCUUAGAAUUUUUUCCUUCAAAUUUUGUAAAUGAAAUUAAGUGAAGAAACUUAUUAUUUACCGUUGAAAUAUCCAAAUCCCCCCCCCCAAAUAAUGACUUUCUACUCUAUAAGAUGUUUACGUAUAUUGUACAGAGUUUGUUUCGUUAGCAUAGUUAUAAGAAUUACUGUAUUAAUUGUCUUAAAUAAAUUUCGAACAAUAAUCAGAAUUAGAUAUGAAAUUGAAAAUUUUAAAAAGAAUCGAUAUGUUCACUUUGCAAUUUGACAGCCAUAAUUUUGAUUUUGACCUAUAAUUGAGUAGUUGAUACACUUGUACCAAUACUUAUUGGGUGCACAAUUUUAAAAAUCUUCUUUCUUUUGUCAUUUGCAUGCCCAUGCAUAUACUUGAAUGCUAGAGGCCACUAAUCAAAAUAGCAAUGGUUGGAUGUUGUCAAUCAAGUUUGCCACAUUCCAUGAUUUGUAUAUUUUACUAUAUUUCUUCUUGAAGCCUAAAAUUGUCUUCUUAAUGGUACCAUACCACUUAUCUAUUUUUGAAAGUAACACCCUGCCUUUUAUAUUAUUUCUGAAAAUGCCACCUUGCCAUUUAUCGGUUUUUGAAAAUGGAUUUUACUAAGUAACUUAGCAAACUGUAUAUUCUUCAUAUUUGUUUAUUGAUUAUCUAACAUGAUUCGACUAAGGCAUCAGACUUCGACAAUUGGUUUGUUAAUACACAUUACAAGUAACUAUUCCUAGUGUAAUUAUUUGGUGAAGUUUGAAUUUAUUUUCUUUUGUUCUUUAUAUUCAUGUAGUGAACGUGUGGAGAUGACAUCAUUCAGGUAGCCAAAAAGUUAUUUUGUAGAGAUGAGAGCAAUAUGGAUGGAUGAGUAGUGAUGUAAGUUUUUCAGCAUUUUAUAUUCUCCUCUUUUUUGCAUUGCAUUCUUAAAUGGUUGUAUACAUUUUUAGCACACUGACAUAGCAUUGUACUUAGUGUGGGCACAGACAAAGACACAUGUUGCUGUUUUUACACAAGAUUGUGCUUUUACUAACAAGUGCAACAUGAGGAUGGAGAAUUGCAUAAGAAAGAAACAAAGCCAAUAGAGGACUUUAAAUGGUUGAAGAAUACGCCAAGAUACAUUUAUGUUAAAAGUCUAGAGAGGAGUAAAUGAAGAAAUUCUUGUACUUCGUUGUAUAUUCCUUGUAAUGUGGAUACAAAGCACGAGAUUGUAGUUAAAGUGAACAUUGUCGAUUGAACUAUAAUCGUAUACGUUAGCAUGAAGAGUUGCACACAUUUUCAAAAAUUGCAAGAAGUCGUGCAUCCCAUUGUGAAGGUAAUUCCUAGAAUGAUGAAGGAAAGUUUAUUAUUUAGAGAAAAAUAUCCAUAGAAGGAUUUCUUGAAUUGACAUAGGGAUGUUCUUCAACAAAAUUAAUAAAACUAUACUCAUUUACUAUUGCUAUAAACAAUAGCAAAAUAUCAGUCUAUGACAAUUAGAUUUUAUGUUUAAUUGUAGGUGCCACAUGCAUUAUCCCUUAUGCGCAUUAGGUAUAGCUUUACCUAUGCAUUCCUUGUGAUAAAAAAUUAAAGGAUUAUUAUACAUAUACAUUAUGUUAUCCAUAAGGGUGUACACAAUGUACAUGCGAAAUUUCUUGAUUGGAGGGUUGAAAAAAUUAUUUUUCAACUCUCCAAUGAUGUUACGCCACUUGUACAUUUUAGACACCUUAUGGACAUCACAAUGUACAUGUAGCAUAACUCAAAAUUAAAAACGUGCCCUUCCAAAAUAUAUUUUACCUAAUACAACUUAUUGAAGAACCAAGUCUAUGAUACAUCAUUUUCAAAUUCAACAAUGCAAAAUGUGAAAGGAUAUAGCUGAAGAUUUACAUAUUGACACAUGGCAACAAGAAAUAUACCUCUAGAUUCGAAUUUGAGAAAUGUUCUAUCCACAGAAAUGACCUGUUUCAUUUAGGAGUGAAUAUUACAUAUGCUUGAUCCUAAGGCCGUGAAAAUGUAUUUGAAAUAGUUCUCAUUAUCAACUUCAAAAAACAUCAUCAUUGUACCAGGAUUAUUCUUUUUGCGAAUAUUGUAAUACUUGGUCAAUCUAUCAUAACUACGACCAAGUGAACCCUCUAAAGCAUAUUCUCUAGCUAUCCCCUCCUUAAUAUAAUUAUAUCAACUCUAGAUAAUAUCAUUUUAAAUGUUCAAUGUUUGUAGAUUAUGUUGGGAUCCUCUAACUUUGACAUGAUGCGUUUUCAAAUCGUCCAACAAUUAGGUUGUCUGUGAUAUUUGUGGUGAAUAUCGAAUGAACAAUUAUAGUAAUGUGAAUACUUUCGAAUUUCAAAUUGAUCACUUUCCUUCAACAAUGUUGCUCACAAAUGCCAUUUGCAUAUUUUCUCAACACAAUCUACUACAUAUGUACUUUUAUUUGACUUAAUAACCUUGACUUCAAAAUAAUUUCUUAAAGCAAGCAUUUGCAGCAAUCCUAUAGAUCUUUUUGAAAGCCCAAGAACGACUAACUAAAAGGGGGUGAAUUGGUUAUCUAAAUCUUUUUCGAAAAAUAAAUGUAAGUUUAAGCAAUUAGCAAAUAAAAUAAUAUGCAAGCGAUAAUACAAGAAAUACAAAGUAGAAGGGAAUAGAAGGCGCAAAUGAUGUAAUUAUAGAGGUUCGAUCCAAACAACGAUCUACGUCCUCCGUUACCAAGCUCUUUGUCAUGAGUAAGGCUUUUUUCACUAUAGUUGAUUGACUUAUGGCUCAAUCCAACGCCUCCGGUGAUUUACAACCAAGGACCACUGAUCCUUUUACAAUGUUGAGUUUAUCAAAAUCUCAACAUGACCCAAUAUCAAAACAAGGAAAUGAAAUAUUACAAGUGAAAGCUUCUCUCUUAAUAAAUUAUAUGAACACUAAUAAGUAUCAAGAGAGAAGUAGGCUCAACACUUCAAUAAAUUGCAAAGAGUAUAGCUCAAGUAUUGGUUGAAAAAUUUUGAUUGAGGAAAAAGAUUUUUACAAAUUUUGAUAACUCAAAAAGUUUUUCAAGAAUUAAAUAAUUUGAUCUUCUGAAGAUUAAAAAAUAAGAUAAAAAAAUCAAUAAAUGUCUCACUUAAAUGCUCAAGAAAAGUUCUGUCCAAUGUGCAAGAAGAGUUGGCAUUUAUAGCUCUCAAAUAGUCAAAAACCUGUUAAUCCCGACUUGGGAUCUAGACGUCCGGUUGGGAUCCGUAAGAGUAAAAUAGCCAUUUAAAAAAAGGUAAAACAAGUGACCGUUAUGGCCCAUCCGGACGUUCGGAUGGGUAGAACUUUGCCUUUCGAACUUUUUCCUUCUCGUGAGGAAUUUUCUCUAUGUAGGCACUAGAAGGAUUUUCUUAUUUAUUUUUUAUAGAUAAGUGUUUUUGUAAAUAUUUAAUCAUGAAAUCGAAAUACUUAUCUUUUAAAAAAAAUUUAUGUAAGUACUGUUUUGUGUCGUAAGAAAGUUCUCAAGCAUAAAAAUUCAUUUGAGUUAUAAUCGAUGCGAAAUAUUGAAGUGUUUUGCCUUUACAUUUGAGUUCAAAAUGCUUUUAUAUCUAAUUUCUUGAAUUUGAUUAUCAAUCUCUUCUCCAAUGUGAAUUUUGACCCAAAGGUUCGAUUUUCAUCUUUACGUUCGUCAAUCGCCAACUUGUUUCCAUGUUGAUCAUCAAGCGACAAUUGUUUGUCACUAUUCAUUAUUCUUGAUCUUGAUUCUCGUCUCUUCAUUCAUAGAUGAUAACUAUCAAUACUCAAAUAUAAUUUGUUAGAAAUAAACGUAUUUUUUUGUGAUAAUCAAAACGAGAAGUCAACCAUUAGGUCAACAAUUUUCCUUUUUUUUUAUUAUGAGAAACAAGAUGAUUUAUAAUACAAAUAUUAAACAAAUUGAAUUGGCACAAAAUAACAAGAAACAUAAAUUUUGAAUAUUCCAAGUAUAUUCCACCUAUCGUUUUCACUUAAGUUCCCUCUAUCAACAUGCAUACAAAAUUUUAUAAGUUCCCCCUUAUAAUGUUUUCCCUGUUUUGCAUAAUCAUCUAUUUAUCUCCCCCCUUUGUAAUUAUGACAAACAAGAUGAUUUGGAAUAUAAAUAUUAAACAAAUUGAAUUGGCACAAAAUAACAAGGAACAUAAAUUUUGAAUAUUGCAAGUAUAUUCCCCCAAUCAUUUUCAAUUAAGUUCCCUCUAUCAACAUGCAUACAAAAUUUUAUAAGUUCCUCCUUACAAUGUUCCCUCUAUUUUGCAUAAUCAUCUACUUAUCUCCCCCCUUUUUGGCGUAAGGAAAAAGAAAUAAUAGCACAAAUGAAAUUUAUAAAGAAAUCAACCAUAGGAAAUUCAAUACAUAAUGUGCCAUCUAGUCAAAUAACAUAAAAGCAAGAUAAUAGAAAUGUAAAGUCUGACAAUAAAAACAUAGCAAAAGUAGAUAGCAUGGGACAAAUGAAAUGUGACAAAGGAAGUUGAGACCCUGAAGACGGUGGUGGAGGAAGGAAGCAACCAUAAAAGUCUGCGAAGAAUGCAUUCUUUUGCACUUUCAUCUCGACCUGUUCGUGCUGCAUCUUGACCUAUUGCUACUGCAUCUCGACCUAUCAGUCCUGGAUAGCAGUCUGCUAUGCCUGAAUCGAGAGAAGUGGCUACCCAAGCUGUCAACGGAUGAGGUGACCAAAUCAAUGCGUCCGUGAAGGAGGUUAUACUGCUCCUCAAUAAAUGUGAAGUGACCUCUGGAAGGACAGGGUGCAUUGGAGUCGAGAAUGUCACAAGCAAGAGUAGGAACUUCAGGUUCAUCUUCGAGCUCAUCUUCGACUUCUUCUUUGAAAGGUAAAGUAGAUGGACCGGUCGAAUCCUUUCGUGUGAGCCACUCAUUACCCUUGUUCUUUUACUAUCUUCAUCUGUUUUAGUGUUUGGAUGUUGAUAGUAUCGGUAGGGCGUAAAUUAACAAAAUCUUCUCCGUCAAAAGAAAUGUUGAAGUGUUUAAAAUUUUUUGUUAGAAGUAUCCUAUAAGGUAAAGUUUCAACAUGUCGUGAUGCAUGCACAAGCUUCAUAAGUCCUAAUGCAAUUGUCGGAAAAUCAAUUUGACACCUAACUAAAAGUUAAUCCAUAAUAAAGAGAACUAAGUGAUUAAAUUCAUCUCAGUGGCCUUUAUGAGGAAAAAUAAUAUGGGCGAUAAUGUUCUGUAAAACUUUACAUGGAAGAGUUAAUUGAUGUGCACUCAAUUUUGUAAUAUUCUUGAAAUCUUUCCCGAUAACUUGGUGACAUGCCUUGGAAGGAUCGGAGCCUUACACGGUAAAUGGAGAUUUAUGUAAAAAUACUUCCAAGUCACAAGGCUCGAGUUCGAGAACAUCACGAAAUAAUGCCUUAGAAACCAUAAUGAACACAUUUUUUUUAUUAAACAUGUAAUCUUGUUGGAACGAGGUGCAUUGUGCAUCUUUUGAUACAAUUCUUUUAUUAGGCGUGGGUAUGCGUGCUUUUCCAUUUUUGCCACGGAUACCCAUCCCAUAUGUUCAAAACAUUCUUCAUUAAGAAUAGCAAGAGCUUCAAUAAUAAAAUCUGCAAAAUCAACGUUAUUACCGAUAAGAAUGAGUGAUUUUUCAAAAAGAUUUGCUCCAAGUCCAUUUCUUCAUUCGAUGACGAUGGAGCAAGUCGCCUCACACUUUAUUUCACCCAUUUUCUACGAUGGGAUCCAUACAUUUUGAAGAAGAGAUGAAAUUCCCAAAAAUUCUCAAAAUUGAAAUCUAGGGCACAACUCUUUUCUAGGCAAAGAACUCAAAUCUUUAAAUGAAAAUGUUAAUUUAGAGACUAAAAAUGUUAAGAUAUGAUUUCUAUAACUACUGUGAGGAUUUUGUGCAAAAUCUCCUAGUGAGAUGUAGGGUUCGAGUGGAGUGAAAAUUUCGGGAUAUUUUAGUGAAGUUUUCUAAUUUCUAAGAGAUUUGUACGUUUAAUCCCUCAAAUCUUUGGAUUUCUAACACGUUUGAGGAGAUGGGAUUAUGACUUGAGGAGUUGGUUGUGAUUCUAGGGAGAGAAUGGAGUGAAAAAAAGAAGAAAUGAAGAAGAAGAAGAAGAAGAACUGUUUUGCAUUUAAAGGAGUCUGGUAUAACGCUAACUCGGACGUUCGGAUCAACAAUGCAUUGGAUGAUUUUUUUUUUUUUAAUGUAUGGUUAUUGCAAAAAUGAGUUCAUCAAAAUUUAUAGAACGUUAUGUAUGUAAAAAAUUUCAUGAUAGGAGAACUUAAACUAAUUCUACUUCAUUUUCAUUAAGAAUUCCUAAACCUAUUCGAAUAUGAGAAAAUCGGUUGUGCGCUAUAGGUUUAGUGAAGAUAUCAGCUACUUGGUCCUUGGUUUUUAUAAAAUCCAACAUGAUAUCUCUCUUUUGUGCAUGAUCUCUAAGAAAGUGAUGUCAAAUUUCAAUAUGCUUAAUUCGUGAACACAAGACGGGAUUCUUAGACAAGUUGAUGGCACUAGUGUUAUCACACAUAAUGGGUACAUGAUCAUAAGAUAAGUGAUAAGUACAAAGAGUUUGUUUCAUCGAAAGUGCUUGUCCACAACUUAUGGCCGAAAUGUAUUCUAUCUCAACUGUAGAUAGAGCAAUGGAAUUUUGUUUCUUGCUAGAUCAAGACAUAAGUGCAAAGCUUAGAAAGUGACUAUUUUUGCUAGUAUUUUUUCAAUCAAUAUUACAUCCGACCCAAUCAACAUUCAAGUGGCUAAUUAAGUCAAUGUGAGUCCCAUUUGGAUACCCUAGUUCCACUAAGAUAUCGAAAAAUUCUUUUUAUGGCACAUUUGUUAAAUAAAGAAGGGAUCCAAUCAUACCUUGAUAUUUUGUGACGUUAACCGGUGUGCUUGCUAAUCUUUGUCAAGCUUUAGGAUGUGCUCAUAGUUGUGUUCAUAGGCUUAAGUUCAUGCAUAUCAAUUCUUUUGAGCAUGUCUAAUAUGUAUUUAUUUUGAUUUAUGAAAAUACUUUCUUUUGUUUGUUUAAUUUGAAAACCGAGGAAAAUUUUUAAUUCUCCUAUCCUGCUCAUUUCAAAUUCUUUACUCAUACAAUUUGAAAAUUUUCCACAAAGACGGAUGCUUGUGGCACCAAAAAUAAUGUUGUCAACAUAAAUUUAAAAAACAAGCAUAUCCUCUUUAUGAGUUUUUACAAAAAGUGUAGUAUCCACUUUUUCUAAUCGAAAAUCCAUUUGAAAGAAAAAAAUUUGCUCAAGCAUUUCAUACCGAGCUCUUAGAGCUUGCUUCAACCCAUAAAGAGCUCUCCUAAGUUUGAAAACAUGAUCUUCGAAACCAGAAGGUUGCUCAACAAAAACUUCUUCUUGAAUAAAUUCGUUUAAAAAUGCACUCUUAACAUCCAUUUGAUAAAGUGUAAAACAUUUAUAGCAUGCAAGUGCAAGAAGCAUGCGAAUGGAUUCUAAUGUAGCUGCGGACGCAAAUGUUUCUUCAAAAUCGAUGCAUUCUUUUUUAUUGUAACCUUGGGCCACUAAUCUAGCCUUGCUAUGUAUAAUUAUUCCAUUUUCAUCUUUUUUGUUUCUAAAAAUCCAAUUUGUGCCAAUCACGGUUUGAUGGUUUAGUUUAGCGACUAAGCCCCAAAAAUGAUUUCUUUCAAAUUGAUUUAAUUCUUCUUGUAUCACUAUAAUCCAAAACUCAUCAAACUCGGCUUCUUUGAAGUUUUGAGGUUCAAUUUGAGAAAUAAAUGCACAACUACCAAGAUGAUUUUUUUAAAAGAGGUUCUAGUAGUUAUACCUUUCGAUGGAUCGCCUAUGAUUAGUUCUUUAGGAUGAGAUGGAACAAACCUCUAUUCUUUUGGUAAUGGGGGAUCACUUUGUGCUUCAGUUUGUUUUUCUUCGCUUUCUUGAACAUUUGCCUCCUUUUGUUCUUCGUUAGAGGCUUCUUUGCUUUGGUCUUGAAUCUUCAUUUGUUCAAAUGGAGCUUCCAAACCUCUCAACCGAAAGAGUUAGUCUCAUCAAAAGUAAUCUUUGCUAGUCGAUGAAUAUCCUAGGAAAUUCCUACAUUGGAUUUUGAAUCGAAUUUUCCCAAAUUAUCCUUUGUGUUUAAAAUAAAAUAUUUGCUUCCAAAAACUUUAAAAUAACUAUAUUUGGAAUUCUAUUUUUCCAAAGCUUGUAAAGAGUUUUAGUUUUCUUUUUUCUUACUAAAACUCUAUUGACGAUGUAGCAAGCGGUGUUCACAACUUCGACCCAAAAAUACUUUGGCAAAUCAUUUUCAUUUACCAUGGUCCUAACCAUUUCUUGCAAUGUAUGAUUCUUCCUUUCUACUGUAUCACUUUGUUGCGGAGUUCUAGGAGCCGAAAAAUUAUUUUCAUAUCCAUGUUCAUUACAAAAAAUCAUCAAAGUCGACAUUAUCAAAUUCUCCACCAUGGUCACUUCUAAUAGUUGCAAUAUUAUAACCUUUUUCAUCUUCAACUUUCUUGCAAAAAUGUUUAAAAACUUUUAAAGCUUCUUCUUUUAAACUUAAAAACAUGACACAAGUAAAUAUUGAGAAAUCGUCGACAAUAACAAAGGCGUAAUGUUUAUCACUGAAGGUAGUCAUCCUAGAAGGUCCAAAAAGAUCCAUGUGGAGAAGUUGUAAUGGUUUUGUAGUUGAAGCAUAAAGUUUAGGCUUGAAAGAAUUUUUUACUUAUUUUCCAAAUUGACAUGAAUCACAAAUUUUAACUUUUUCAAAUUUCAAAUUUGGCCAAACCUUUCACAAAACAAUUUUUGGAAAUUUUCGAAAGGAAAUCUAUGCUAACAUGCCUUAAUCUUCUAUGUCAUAGCCAUGAUUUAUCUUUCACCCUAAGUAUACAAUUUUCAUUAUUUUCAAAUUCAAAGUUUAUGAUAUAAACAUAUUUGCUUUGGCUUCCUAUGAAAUUUACAUCUUCUUAUGUAGCAUCCUUAAUAAGACAUUUUGAAGAAUCGAAUUUUAUAUUGUAACCUUUAUCACAUAAUUGACUAAUACUUAGUAAAUUAUGUUUAAGAUUAUCAACAAGUAAAACAUUUUCAAUUGAGGGGAUGAGUGAUUACCGCUGUUUCCAAUACCGAUAAUUUUACCUUUGGCUUUGUCUCUGAAGGUUACAUGGCCUCCAUCAUUCUUUUUGAAGUUCGACAACAAGGAUCGAUUUCUGGUCAUGUGCUUCGAAUAACUGUUAUCUAAGAACCAUUUGCUUCUUAUUUUCUUUGAUACCUACAAAAACAAUUCAUGUUUUGAUUUUUGGUACCCAUACAAACUUGGGUCCUUGGUAGUUAGUUUUAGUGGACUCUCGGAUCCACUUAUACUUAUUUUCAAGAUAUAGCUUUUUUUAGCUAGGCAAUUAAAGGCUACAUGUCCUUUUUAUUACAAAAACUACAUGUAGUGUUUGAAGUUUUAACGAAUAUAGUUUUGAAAGAUUUUUAUUUUAAAGAGGGUUUAUAUCCGAUUCUCCCUAUAUCAAAAUGUAUUUUUGACUACCAAGCAUUAAAUCAAAAAUUUUCUUUCCCUUGGUGAAUUUAUUACUAAUUUUCAUUAAAUCUUCCGCUUUUUCUUUGAAAGAAAUGUUCUCCUCAACUAAUAAAUCAUGAUCAACAUUUUCUUUUUGUUUUUCCUAAAUUUUCUUUAUUUCAUCUUUUAACAAAUAAUUCUUCUUUUAAGGAUAGAAUGACUCAAGGCAAGUUUUUCGAAUUUUUCAAGCAUUUCAUCAUAUGAAUUUGAUAACUCAUCAUAAGAGCAUUUUUCAUUCAAGUUUACCUUGUCUUCGAUCAUCAUGAAGCACAUGUUGGCAACUUCAUCUUGGCUAUCGUUCUCAUUUUUAUCCUCAUCAUCGCUAUCAUCCCAUGUAGCUUGGAUUGCCUUUUUUUUUUGAAAUUUUUAUUUUUGUUUGUGCACUUGGUUCUUUUGUGAACAGGCUUAUCACAAUCGUAACAAACAAUUUUUUUGCUUCUUUCUUCGCCUUUAUCAUUCUUCUUUUUGAAAUCUCCAAUUAUUACGAAGACCUAUCGCCUUUGUCGCUCAUGUUUUCAGUUGAUGUUCCUUCUUCAAUAGCCAAUUUUAAGGCAAUUUGUCGCUUGGAAGGUUCCUUUGAUUCUUCCUUGCUUUUUCUUAUUUUCUCCUUGAUCUCGACAUUGUUGAGUUCAUAGGUCAUUAAUGUACCGUGUUCCUCCAAAGGAUAUGUAUUUAUAUCCUUGGUAUUCUCGAUCAACAUUUUCAACGGGCUCCAGUCUUCCAAUAUGGACCUCAGCAUUUUGGUAACAAGCUCACCAUUAGUAAAUUUAUGAUCAAAACCUUUAAGGCCAUUUAGAAUAUCAUUACAACGUGUAAUCAUAUCAACAAUAGGUUCACCUUUUUUAUUCAAUUUUUUUUUUUCAAAUUCUUUAAUUAACAAUUUUUUUUUGUUUCUUUAACUUUGCUUGUGCCGACAUGAGUGACUUCAAGUGCAUGCCAAAUAUCAUAUGUAGACUCACAUGUAGUAAUCCUAUUAAAUUCAUUUCUAUCUAGUGCACAAUAAAGUAAAUUCUUAGCUUUGGCAUUUAACGAUAAUUUUCUCUUAUCCUCUUCAUCAUAUUCCUAUCCAGACUUAGGAAUAGUUUUAUCCAAUCUCCCAUCUAUUUUAAUGGUCUUCGUAGGCAUAUAAGGACCGUAUUCAAUAACUUCUCAAAUAUUAUAAUCAAUUGAUUUAAUAUAUAUCAUCAUUCUAGUUUUUCAAUAAUUAUUGUAUGUGUCAUCAAAGACAGGAGGUCAGUUUGUAGAGUGCCCCUCAAGAUAUUGAAACACUUCGUUAGCCAUUCCUCAAGAUUGUAAAAUCUCUUGAAAGUGAGUAUCGAGCUUUGAUACCAAUUGAAAAGCCCAAGAAUGACUAACUAACCAGGGGGUGAAUUGGUUAUCUAAAUCUUUUUGGAAAAAUAAAUGCAAAUUUAAGUAAUUAGCAAAUAAAAUAAUAUGCAAGCACGAUAACACAAGAAAAUAAUAAGUAUGAGGAAAUAGAAGGCGCAAACGAUGUAAUUAUGGAUGUUUGAUCCAAAAAACGAGCUACGUACUAUGUUACUGAGCUCUCCAUCAUGAACAAGGUCUUUUUCACUAUAGUUGAUUGACUUAUGGUUCAAUCCAAACCUUACAAUGUAUCAGAUGACUUACAACCUCGAAGCACCAAUCCUUUUACAAUGUUAAGCUUUUCGAGGCCUCAACACGAUCCACAAUCAAAAGAAAAAAAUGAAAUAUUACAAGUGAAAGCUUCUUUCUUAAUAAAUGAUAUGAACACAAAUAAGUAUCAAGAGAGAAGUAGGCUCAACACUUCAAUAAAUUGCGAAGAGUAUAGCUCAAGUGUUGAUUUUUGAUUGAGAUAAAAUAUUUUUGUAAGUUUUGACCACUCAAAACGUUUUUCAAGAAUUAAAUAAUUUGACCUUCUAAAGAUUGAAUAAUAAGGUAAAAAAAAUCAAAAAAUGCCUCACUUAAAUGCUCAAAAAAGUUCUGUCAAAUGUGCAAGAAGAGGUAGUAUUUAUAGCUCUUAAACAGUCAAAAGUCUAUCGAUCCAAAUGUCCGGUUGGGUUUUAGACAAGUAAACUUGCCGUUUGAAGCAGAUCUCUGCCCUUCAGACUUUUUCCUUCGUGAUGAAUUUUCUCUAUGUAGACACUUGAAGGACUUUCUUAUUUAUGUUGUAUAGAUAAGUAUUUUUAUGAAUAUUUAAUCAUGAAAUCGAAAUACUUAUCUUUUGAAAAUAAUUUUUGUGCAAGGAUUGUUUUGUGUCGUUAGAAAGUUCUUGUGCAUAAAAAUUCUUUGAGCUAUAGUCGAUGCGAAAUGUUGAAAUGUUUUACCCUUACAUUUGAGUUCAAAUCGCAUCUAUAUCUAAUGUCUUGAAUUUGAUGAUCAAUCUCUUCUCCAAUAUGAUUUUUGACGCGAAGACUCGAUUUCCAUCUUUACGUUCGUCAAUGACCUAUUUGCUUCCAUGUUGAUCGUCAAGUGCUAAAAUAGUCUGUCACUAUGCAUGAUUCUUUAUCUCGAUUCUCAUGUCUUCAUUCAUAGUUGAUUACUAUCAAUUAUCAAAUUCAAUUUGUUUGAGAUAAACACAAUUUGUUUGUAAUAAUCAAAACGAGAAGUUAACCGCUAGGUCAACACUUUCUUGUAGUAAAAAAUUUGGCUAAUGUGCACAUAAUUGGUGCUAGUAAUCUCAAUUUAUGGUCUACGAGGAUUCAGAGAAACAACUUGUGAAGUGCCAAUAAUCUCAUUUACCAAUGUAAAUUGUAUAGGAUGAGUAACAUUGUCAUCAUUUAUCACAUGAAAAUCAUCUUUGUGAUUGUCAUGCACUAUUUCUACUCCAUUCCAAUAGUUAUAACAUGUGAUGUUCACACAAUUACUUUCACAAUUUUAAUUAAAUGGAGACAAGAUUGCUUAUAAUUGUCAUCAAACUCAUCUUUUUGCAUAUUGCAUUAAAUUAUAUAUAUUUUUGUUAUCCACAACUACUUCUGAAUUAUAUUAAUGAUUAUCCCAAUCAUUUAUCAUAGCAAGCUAUAUGUCUUGUUGAUCAUCAACAUAAUCAUUUUUUCACAUGAAGUUACACAAAUUGGAACUUGGUCAUUCAAAGAGAGUAACCAACUAACAUCUGUGCUGCAAGUGAUCUUGGCGGAACUCAUCAUGCUAGAAAUGAAAAUUUUCAUCUUGAUAUCACAAAUAACAGAAUCAACCUUAAUAGCUUUUUAAACUUCAUCAUAAAACUCUACAAAUGAAAAUUUUUUUGAUACAAAAAUAUAUGUUGCAACAUCUUGAUCAUUGCCUAUCCAUUUUUAAAUCCAUCCACUUCUGUCACUCAUUAUUUACCUAUGGACGAGGUUGUCUAAUCAGACUCAAUAAUUUUUAUUCAUAAAGUGGUCUAGGCCCCUUUCAUGUACAAUAUGAAUUAGAAGAGUAAUAUACCAUUGGCAAAGGUUCUAUUGCAAAAAAUAACUUGUAUUAAUUUUUAUUGUUUGACUUUAUGAUCGAAUAUGUUUGAUAUGAUAAAUUGAACCAUAAUAAACAAAUUUAAAAAUUCUCCAAUUGUGUUCACUAUAACAUAUUAAAUAUGGUAUAUUAGUUUACAAUCAUUAUCAUACCGACGCAAAUGCCUUAAGUUAAAAGGCAAGUAAUGAUUAGUCUUUGUUUUGUAGGAUUAACAUUCAGAUUUUAAUUUAAAUCAAAAUCAACAAUUAAUUAUAAUUAUAAUUUAUUGGAUUCAAGUUUCUUUAGCUAUACAUCCCAUCAAAUUUUAUAAAAAAAAUUAUUAAAAAAUUCAUUCUAAUUUCCACUAAACAGGGGCAUAGUUUGAAUGUAACUUAGGCAUGUUACGUAUGUCAUUUUCGUGAAGCCACAUAUUAUUGUCUGUUGUAGGGUCCUAAUUCCCAAUUAGAAAUGGGGUCUAAUAUCUUCUUUUGUUAUCUUUUAAUAUAUGAUCUUAAACCUUAUGUCCUAGAAGAUAUGGCAGUUGAGACUCAUAAAAUUUAUAUUUAUAAUUGAGGAAACAAAUAAUUUUUAUGUUCACGUUUUUAUUUGGUUACGGAGAGCUAUGUGGAUCCAAACUAGAAGAUUAUAUAAAUUUUUUAAACUCUACACUUCCACUUAUUUUUUCAUUUUGAAUGUUCAAAUGUUUGCACCUUCUGUGCUAGCCAAAGCAUUUCUCUGAAUUUGAUUCUAUCUUGUAUUAACAGCACUUGCAGAUAUAACAUUCUAUGUGCCAUGUCAUUCUCUUGGAAAACAACUGGGUAAUUCCUUUUGAGGUGUCCUUCUUGGCCACAACGAUAGGAAACAAUAACUUCCUUGAACUUUACACACUCUCUAAGAUCAGAUCUUCCACAUAACCUAUAAUAAGGAAAUUGGCACUGUUGGAGCUAGUACUCUGCCUAGAGACAAAUGAUCGUUGAAAAGAGCCCUAAGUAUGAGAACAGCUAGUAAAUGGCUGCUACAGUAUUGUGACUAAAUUUGGAACCCUUGACUUCUCUGUGAUCGAGACUUGAAUUGACUUGAACUGACACACCAGGUCAAAUCCUUUAUUGUUUCUCUUUGGUGGUCUAUAGUUAGAAGCACCUGCCAAUGUCUAACUAUUACUUAUUUUGGACAUUCUUUGUUCUCUACUAAUUGGUCUAUCAGAAAUGCUCUUUUCUACUGUUAAAGCCGAUUUAACCAAUUUGCCAAAUUUGUUCCAACCUGUGGCUACCACUGCGAUAUGAUCUCUUCUCUUAAUCUAUUUUCAAACUGCCCGCGUUUAUCAAUUUCAUUGCUAAUCAAAACUUGAGCAUACUUCGAAAGUUCAAUGAAUUUUACCUAAUAUUCUGCAACAGUCAUCUGCCCUUAUACUAACUUCAAAAAUUCCUUAUACUUUUCAUCUUUAUAUGAAUGAGGUUAAUAAGCAUCAUAAAAGAUACUUCUGAAAUUUGUCCAACAGAUAAUAGAAGGUCUCGAUAUGUGCUCUGUACUAACUAUCACAAAUCAUAUGUGCCCUUUAACAAGAAAGUGGUAAGAUAAAAAUUCCGAUCAUCUGGGCAACCCAUAACAUAAAAUACCUCUCUAUCUUGAUCAUCCAUGCUUGAGCAACUGUAAGAUCGGAUGUGCUUGUGAAAACUUUAGCCCCUAAUUUUGUAGCUCUCUCAAUACUGAAAUCUUUGUCAGUACUAUGCAUAGCAAAGGCAAAAGCAGUAGCAAUUCUUUCAACAACAUAGGAUCAUUUCCAAUCACAUUUUCUUAUCCUCGUUGUUCAGGAUGUUGGUGAACUAAUUCAUCUACUCUCUUGAACUCUCUAAGUUCAUCUCUAACAAGAGCAAUGUGAGACUAUGGCAACAGAUAUUGAAACAUUCAAGUUUUGCUACCACGAGUCAUGACUCAUUUACAAUUAUGCAUGAUAUGCUAAACAUCAGAAUGUAUGUAUAAUGCAAGUCUAUGGACUCUAAAGCUUCCCAAACUGACAUGCCUCGCUCCUAGUAAUGCUAGUGGGCCCGGAACAUGAUGUACUCCGACAAUAGAUACCAACUAAAAGUCUGACCCACCAUUAAGGCUACUACAAUAUGCAACUUUUAUAAAUUAUUUUUAAUAGAAAUCUGGCAUUAUUUUCAUGUAUAUAGGACUAAUCAACCUGUAAUCCAAUAUACACAAAUCCCAACAUAUAUAACGCAACACAAAAGAUAUAAUCCGAUAUCUCAAUUUUUACUAAGAAAAUAACAUGAAAUGUAUAUAUGCAUACAAAAUACAUAGUGAGCUCCAUAACUAUCUACAAGUAAUGCAAAAUAACAUCUAAACAUGAACAUGUGUCCCAAAACACUAACUACAUGCUCUAUAAAGUGAGUCAUAUUAGCAAACUCUGUUGCGUGACUCUGACUCCAAAAUCAAAGGCUCAACUCCAAAAGAUGCAUAGAAACUCAACUACUACCUGAUAAGAAAAUCGUGAAAAAAUGAGUUGAUAGCUCAAUAAGUGGAGAAGUUCGAAAAUAAAUAUACUUUUUCAUUUAUACAUUUAUAUCGAAAAUAAGCUUACAUUAAUUAACAGUUCACGAUCAGCAUAUAAUAAUAAUAAUAAUGAUGAUGAUGAUGAUGAUGAUGAUGAUGAUGAUGGGAAACGUCCUCAUAAUGCUGAAAUAUAUAAUCUCAUUGUCAUGAUGUAAUCCUAAACUCAAAUUUAUAAUAUCAUCUCAUCACACCACAUGUAAUCCAUAAAAAUAUACCCUCUGACUAAAGUAUAUAAUACAGCCCUUGGGCUAAAAACUUUCGUCACGGGCCUUAGACCCCUUCCAUUAACGAAAGCGAUCUCAAGACCUUUGAUAAUCAAUUCUGAAACAUGACCAAGGCCUCUCUACGAAUUAUACGUACACGGUUAAGGCCAAUGUCCGGUCAAGACCCUCGGUGUAGGACAGAACACGACCAAGUCCCUUUCGUGAAUUAGAAGAAGAAUAUAAUCAUAGGUACGUUUCUGGUCGAUCUCAAUAUCGCAUGUUACAUUCUAAUUUAUAGGUAAUCCAUAUACAACCUUUAUGAUUUCACAUAUUUUAUAUCAUAAUGAAGAAACCUUUCAUAAUAAUCAUGUAAUUGUACAAGAAAUUCACAUAAUUGCACAAAAUGUAGUAGUAUAAUUAAUUUAUCAAUACUUGAAAAUAUAUAAGUUUUUUCACCCACAGAACUAUGUAUACAAAAUCACCUUAGUUUGUAGGUUGUCCUGAUAUCCAUAUUCCUUCCUAAAAUAUGAUAUAAUAUUUAGAUUGACAAUUAACCAUUUUAAAUAAUUUCAAUAAUUACAUAAACCAUACUAAAACUUAAUUUUUUCAUGUUUAAGCGAUUUCUAAAGUAACGUUAAUCACUUAAGUUAAUUUUUCUUUCAUUUAACUUAAUUACAUAACUUACAAUACUUGGUGCAAUAAUUUUCCUUCGAUAAAAUAUAAUUUAAACUAACUAUUCGACAACCCUAAAAUUAAACAUAACUAUUCCAUAAGUAACUUUUUAACUUACCUUUUGAAACUGAAUAAUUCAAACUUAAUAAUAUAAACCACUUAUUUUUACACCAUGUUGUCGAACUUUCCUAUUUUUUUUCUCUUCCUCUUCGUUUUUUUCUUUCCUCUUUUCUCUUUCUUUUCUCCUUGCUCUCGUUUUUCUUUUGGUGUGUGUUGUGCAUGUUUGUGUGUGUGUGUAAAAUGGAUUUGGAUAUUUGUACCACAGGUGGAUUGAUUUAUAUCAAUUCACAGCCUACCUUUUUUUGUUUAUUUUUAAAUUUUUUUAUUGUAUGACAUAUUUGACUUUUCUUUCCUUUUUAUUUUAUUUUAUUAAUUGAGGUAUUACAACUAAAUCUUUUGGAAAGUCAAUACUGUCUGCCAGUUAACUAUCUUCGAGAAUGACUGUCUUUACAAAUCCCUUUGGGAUUCUUGAAAAACUCAACUAUUGCGAAAGUAUGCUCCAAGAUCUUUGAUUUGGUGGUUAUGGUAAUGAGUUCGCAGCCACAAAGGAAAGGAGAACAAUGGAUUAACUGGAUUAUACUCAAGAAAAAGAAAAAAUGGAGUAGAGAAAGACGGCAGCCAAGUUUUCAAAGCAAAGACACACACGUUUCCGAUGACCAAAGGAAGAGUCAUAUAGAUUGGUGAAAUCAUAUUAGGCUAAGACACAGGGUAAAUGGGCUACAAUUACAAGACCCAUCCAAGGAGUAAUCUUGGGCCAUGGGCAGCUCAAUUCAUUUGGUUGCUUCUAAUAACCCACAUUUUUAGGUCAAGCCAUUCGAUUGAUGUGUUGAAAAUUUCACUCAUCCACUGUAGAGAUGGCAACGGGGUAAUUUCUCAUCCCAUUUCCAACCUAUUACCCAUUUAAGGCAUGGUGGGGGAGGGGCGGGGUCCUUGCCCCGUUUAAUUAAUUAAUUAAUUAAUUUUUAGUUUUUGAUAAUUCAUUUUAGUGCCUCAUUUAUUAAAGUGAGACAAUAAUAUAGUUAUUUAAUUUUAUUUAUUUAUUUUUAAAAGUAAAAUUAUUGAAAAUUUUUGAUAAACUAAGGUUUUUAUUGUUUAUCAUAUUCGUUAGAUAAUCUUAAUUACCAUCUUAUAUUAUAAUUAAUGAAAUUUCGUGGAGUUUUUCAUUUAAUGUAUUGAGUUCUUAAUUAAAAAAAAAAGUUAAAUAGGGCGGGCGGGCCCUUGUUACUCGUAUCCACCCUGGGGCAAAACCUCCUGCCCCAUUCCCUACCCAAAUACCAAAUUAAGCGGGUGAUCCCCAUCCCGUUUGGCGUGGGGCCGCUUUUAUUGGGUUUGACAAGUUUUUUGCCAUCUCUAAUCUGUUGAGGCAUGUGAAAUUUAUUUUAAACCGUUUAAUAUCCUUUCUUGGGGUUUAUUGGGUAUGAAUACCCAACACCACUUUGUCUCAAAUUUUAGAUGGAAAAUUUUGUUUGAUAUUCAGAUAAAUUGCUUGAAAUAAAGAGCAACAUACUUAAAAACAAAUUAUCAAAAACACUAUACUCCUAAAAUAAACAGAAAGAAAAUGCUUUAUGUGUAUCAUUUUUAUCUUCAACCUCUAAAUUCAUUGAUUUUUUUUGUCCUCGUACAUUAAUAUUUGUCUUACCACUUUUCCUUGGAUUUUGAUUUUGUUAUUGCAUAGUUUUUUUAAAAAAAAUUUGACAAGCACACAACAUUUAUCCUUAAUCCCUAAUCAUAUAACAUUAGAAGAGGAGAGGAUAGCAAAAUCAAGUGCUAUAAGCAAAUAUAUAAAUAUGAGAAUGGACACAAAAACAAAAUGUACGUCUCGUUGAUUAUGAGGUAAUUCCAGAGGGACAGGAAUUGGCAUGUACAACGCGAUAUUCUACACUUGACCCUUUGAAACCUGUCAAGUAUAACAUUUUUUUUUUUAUUGUAACUCUAAUAUCUCACUUCAAUUAUAGCAAAUAAUAUCUAGCUUCCAAACUAGCUAUUUCUUGUCAAGCCCCAAUUGUCCAUUCAGACCUCCACCCAUAUAGAUCUCGAAUCAGCUUUUUCACAUAGAGAUGAAAUGGAAAUGCAAACUGGUUACCUUAGAACAAAUAUCCAUCUCUAAUAUAGAAAUACACCACUGAUUCACGAUUCACACACUUGCUCCAAAAUCCCUUAAAGUUAAGAUCAUCUGCAUAUAGUUCCUUCAAACACUUGAACCCAAUAAAUUCCUGUAACAAUGUCACCAAUAAAGACGCUCUCUGAUUAAGGCCAUUUGUAACUCUAUUCGUACCUCCAGAUUAAUGUUUAUCCACAAAAGGAAAUUUAUGGAGCAAAAUCACCCAUCGAGCAUGCAUCUUACUGUACGUUUUUAAAUAUGAAUAUAGAAUUUACUGCUUGGUGAUCAGUAAACAACACAAACUCAUUUUGUACGAGUUAUUGUUUUGAUUGCUUCAAAGCCUUCACCACUACAUAGAAUUCUUGCUCAUAUGUACUCCACUUCUACUUUGCAUCUCUUAAGUUUUCUAGAACAAAAGUUACAAGUCUCUUCUGUUCGAAAAGGAGAGCCCCAACACUCACACCACUAGCAUCACACUUCACCUCAAAGAUAAUCUGAAGCUUGGUAAAGUUAAUACUAGAGUUGAGUACAACUUUUUUUUAUGAAGGCGAAGCUCUUAUCUUGCUCCUCUCCUCUACUGAAUCUCCUCUUCUUCAAACAUUCUAUGAGUAGUGCUACAAUAAUGCUAAAAUGCCUGAUAAAUUGCCUAUAGAAAGUUGCCAAACCAUGGAAAUUUCUUAUUUCACAAAUUGACUUUGAUAUUUUCCAAUCUCAUAUUGCUCGUCUUCUUUUCAUCCACCUAUAAACCAUCUUCACCAACCAUAAAGCCUAGAAACAUAUCUUAUGUGUACUGAAAAUGCACAUCUUCAGGUUGAUGUACAACUAAUUUUUGUUUGAAACAUCUAGGAAUUGCCUCAAUUAAACUUAGUGAUCCUCCUUGGACUUGUUGUAAAUGAGUAUAUCAUCAAAAUAAACAACAACAAAAGAUCUAAUCAAUGGACAAAGAACAUGUUCCAUCAAUCUCAUGAAGGUACUCGGGCAUAUGAGAGCCCAAAUGGUAUUACCAACCAUUCAUAAAGUCUAUCUUUACUCGCGAAGACAGUCUACCGUUCAUCCUAAAUUUAAUACGAAUUUGGUGGUAGCUAUUGCGAUAUCUUGUUGAUAGCAUGACUGUUAAUAGACAUAUGUCACUUUCCAUCCAUUUUGAUCACUAAGAGGACAUUACUACACACAGAUUCAUACUCUCCUUUAUGAAUCCAUUCCUCAACAGCUCUUCAAUUCGCUUCAUCAAAAUCUCAUUUUCCUUUGGUCUCAUUUGUUAAUAAGGGAAAUUUGGAAUCUAGCUUCAGGUACCAUAUCAAUUUGGUGCUAAAUAUUCAUCAUAGGAGGUAACCCAUUUGGCAAUUCACUGGAAAUCAAAUCUUCAAAUUUUGUCAAUAUUUAUUGCACCUCAGGUGGAGUACCCUCUUCUUUUUUAUUUGCUGAAAAAGCCUCUUUAACCACAAAUGGAUAAAAGCAAUCAAAUCUCUUCAGACUCUACAAUCUCCUUCUCAUUACUUGUAAGGGUAUGGAAACUCUUAGUUUGUCAUUCAGGCUUUUCGACUUGCUUGGGAGGAGCCAUAGUGAUCUUAUGACUACUCCGUAAAAAGAAUAUGAUAUUAUCAUGCCCUUUGUGAGUUUAAUCUACAUCAAACUAUCAUGGGCAACUCAAUAGAAUAUAGCAAGCAUCUAUAUCUAUGAUAUGACACAUAAGUUCAUCUGUCUAAUACUUACCAAUGAAAAUAGGUGCUUUGCAAGUUUUAGCAACUUGAACGAAAGGACCUUUCUUCACCCAAGAGAAUACGAUUUAGGAUGUUAUUUUUGGUAAUUUCAACAAAUUCACCAACAUCUUCUAUACAAAGUUCUUACAACUUCAGUUGUCUACAGUUACUUCACACACUUUAUUCUUGAUAAUACAAAAGUGAACAAAAAAUUUAGUGAUGUUUUCCCUUCUCCUUAGGCAAUUAAAAGACCUACUAAAAUACCAAAGUGAACCUUUCCACACCUUUUGAACAACAAACUCGACCCUGCAUACUCAUCUUUCACUUUAAUGUCUUGUUCUAGUUUUACCAAAUUGACCUGGUUUCUUUUAGACUGGCAUUGGAACGAUGCCUAGGUUUGUGUCAUCUAUAACAAAUAUCUCACGUGGGCCUAGCGUAUGAAUUUAUAUGCUGAGGUACACCUCGAGUUUGAUAUCUAUGUCCAAACCGACCACUAUUGUCAACGUUGCUCAUGUUAGGAUUAGUUGGAGAAUGUUGAAGGGCCUUCCCUUGUCUAAAGAAAUGGACGAAUAAUGGCUCGGCUAGUGGGGAAGCUCUCUUAUAAAAAAUCACCUUCUUAUCGGAUUCUAUCGUCUCAGCCUUCAUCGUUAUGUUAAUAGCUUCUUGCAAUAUUCAAAUAUUCUGCAAUCCAUUCCUAUCUUGAAUAACUACCUUCAAAUCACUAGUAUAUUUGGCUACUAUUUGAUUUUCUAAUUCUGAUAGGCCAUUCCGCUCUACCAACCAUGGCAUAGUUUGAUACUGUUACUUUGUAUACAUUUAUCCCAUGAACAUGUGGUACAAAUUCUGUUAAUAAUUUGUGGGUAGAAAUCAAUCCAUCAUAGACUGGUUCAUCUUUCUCCGAGUUCGAAUCUGAGCUUUUCCCUGUCUCCUACGAGCACUCUGUAAUUGGUCCCACUAUACCACCGCUGUAGAUUUCAAAUGGAAUGCCACCAUCUUAACCAUCUUAUCCUUCUAAACAUCCAUAAUUUCAUAAAAUUGUUCAACCUCUACUAACCUAUCCAAGAAGUCACCAAUCUUCAUAUUACCAAAGAAUGUGGGAAUAUCUGCUAUAAUACGAAAAUCAUCAAAGGUAUUUUUAUUUUGAUGAUUACGGUUGUGCAGAAGCUCUUCAAUUUUUUUUAUUUUUAUUUUGAUUCGCUAUCUUCUACUGCAAGUUUCCUAUUAUUUGCUCUCCAAACUAUAGGCUCAGCAACUAUUAAUUGUUGAUUUUAUAUUGUUCAAUCUGCCCUUUGUUUACUAUAGCCUGUAGCUACAAUUGAUGGAUCUCCUUUAUCUGAGUAUUAAGAUCGUCAAUUUGUCGAUUCUGACCGUUCAAAUCUGUCCUAAUAAUUGGUACAUCACCUAUGGCUAUAAAUCAAAGAUAUAGAGAAGGAAAAAUCAGCUCUGAUACCACUUGAUGUUACGUAACAACGAAUUCAAAUGAAAGCCACGAAUUUUGAAAUCCAUCAAAUUAUGAAAAAUAAACUCAUGAAUUUUACUAAUUGAAAGAUGAUAAAAAAUGAUGAAAUAUCUCCUUGUUUACAUAACAACCUAGUUUAAGACGACUAGAAUUAAUGAAAAUCUAGUUUAAACAAACUAAAAUUAAAAAGAAUUCGAAAUAAGCUAAAUGACAAAAGUAGUGUUAAAACUUUAAAUGCAGUUUUCGAGUCCUAAACGAAAUCGGAUGGUCAAAAUAAAUUGUACAUCAUGGCAAAGCAAAGAGUUCUACUCACCUCGUUGUCCUCUUUCCAGAAUGGUAUUACGAGUCCAAACUGAAUUUCGGGUGCUCUCUCCGCACUAUUGCUUUUUUUUUUCCAUUCCGAUCCAAUUCUUUUUCAUUCCACAAUUUUUUCUGCAUUAUAAUGUUAUUUGGAAUGUAAUAUACCGAUAUCUAAGCUUGUAUGAGACGAUCAAAAUAUACGUGAUAGAUAGUGAUUUCAAAAAUAUAGGCCCCACAUUGAUGUCGUAGUUGGCAUAGGAUUUCUUGAGUCUCAAAUUGUUUCCGUGAAAAAAAGGUGUUCGGCUUCUACAAUUUCUAUAGAAGUUAAUAUUUUCAGGGUUCCAGGGAAAGAGCCAGCGUUACACUUAAUUACAUUUUUUAUCUAGUAGGGCCCACUUUUAAACCCUUCGAAUCAAAAUUUCCUAUGAAGUAUCAGUUUUGUCAGUUUGCAUAGGGGUUAAGAAUCUCAAUAAAGGUUGUGCCAUGUUAUAAUUUUUCUACCACUCUAUUAAAUAGCAUUUCUUAUUGUGACAAUAGUGUUAUAUUGUUCGAUUUCUUUUUAUUAUUGUUUAAUUUGACCUGAUUUCAAGGAUUUAUGGUAUCUAAACAAAGACAACUAUGUAGUAAAGUGAUUCUUCUUACGAUAUUUUCCAUGCUUAUAUUUUCAUUGUGAAGUGAUGGAAGGAGCAAAAUGUAGUGUGCAUAUAUGUAUAUGUCUUUAUACUAGGGUUUACAUAUUUUUACUUCAGAAGGUAUCUGCGACUAUCGUUAAAAUCGUCAAUCAGAAGAACAAAAGAAAUGGAAGUAAUUUUAAUGAAUUUUUAAGUUUUAUUUUUAUUAUUUAUUAUUUUUUAAUCCAUUUUUUACUCCUUUUUGAAGCACAACUCCUAAAAUUAUUCCUCUCCUAUAAAUAGACCUCGUUUAGGUUACAAAAAAGAGAGCCUCAUGGAGAUAAAUAUUCAUAUCACUAGAAAAGAGAGCCCGAAAGAGAGGAAAAGAUAAAAGUAAAAUCCAAAAAUAUACUUUAAUUCUUUCUUAUAUUAUUUUUCUCCCAUUAUGAGUAAUUUAAUAUUAGUUAGGAUGAGCAUUGUAUUCUAGUUUGAAUUUUAAUUUUAAUUAUAAAGAUUCCCUAUCAAUUUACUAUUUCAAAAUGCAUUCUCAGUAAAAAAAAAAAAAAAAUAGGCUUAAGUAGGUUAUAAAUAUGAUAACUAAUAACAACAUGUUUCCCCAUUUUUCUAUGCAGGUACAUUUUUAAAUUGAAGUAUGACUAUUCAUAUUCUGCAUAUGAUGUUUUUGAGGCAAAUGGAUACUUGAAAUGAAAAUGUUUAUAAUUAUAAUGCAUAUCAUAUUUUAUUUGAACAAUCUUUAUAUAUUGGUAAGGAUACUUCAAAUGGUUAUUAUUAGGAAAUAGCUUUUAGAAGACUAGUGUCUGUCGAGGAACCCCUCUAAUUUAAUAGUUUCAGUGAAAAUGUUCUGUGAAGUGUUCCCAAUCUAGUUUUGUAUACAAUCCUACGGAUCCCUUUGCAAGUCUUUUGUGUACCUACUUAACACACAAGUAAUGCCCCUAUAGUACGCUUUCGGACGUCUUGAUGCUGAACAGUACAAGGCCAUCUAUUGAAUCAUCUUCUACUCUUGGCAAGGAUUUUUCAUUUUCAGGUACGUAUUUAAAACUGUAGGCAUGCCUUCAUUCAAAAGUUUCAAUGUUUGCUUUGUAGCCGUGCAUCGUGAUGUUCACUUGUUGGUGUUGGCUGUGAGCCAUUGCCUGAGGAGUUUUAUUUGUUAACAUUCGAAGUUAUAGUAAAUUUAAGGUUUGUAAUUAUACUUCCUUGCGUAAAUGCUUUAAAGGAUGAUGUAUUGGUACUCUUCUACUGGUGUAGUGUAUGCUGGAUAAAUCUUGACAAAAAACAUGCAGACAAAAUGAUUGCUUUACAUUCUAUACGAAGUACAUGUACUUAUGAACGAUAAAUAAUUAAAAAAAUAAUUUGUUAAGUGUUACAUAAUGUAAUUUAUAUAUUUGUAAUUUUCAAUUGAAUUUUUUUUUUAUAUUUUUAUUUGUUUUUUGUAUGUUUAGUUAUUUACGAUGGAAUUAUUAUGCAAAUGUUUUUGUCGCCGCUCCAUAAAUGGUGUUUAAAAUUUUCAUAGAAAAGAGUGUAAUGCGUAUAUACAUCCAAUUUUCUUGUUGUAAUUUGUGAAUUCCCUACAUGUUAGUAUUGUAAGAUAUAUUAGUUCAUGAAACAUGAGCAAUUUUCAUAUUUGUACCUUUAUUUCAAUAGAAGAAAAACGGAAUGAAGUCCAAUAUGUUAUUGAGCCAUUAACAUAAAUCACCUCCUAAAUCUCGUGAAUGAAGUCUAUUUCAUCAACCACAUUGCAGCGUCAACUGUGGCAGAUAACCAAAGGAUUAAAAUAUUUUUAUUUUCCAUCGAGACGUCCUCAAUAGCCCUUUUUUUUUCUUCGAUUAAAUCUGAGAUCUUUGUAGACAUAAAAUUGGAUUCAAAGUUUUGUUCUUAUUCAAUGGGAUAAAGCCAGGAUUUACUUACUAAAAUGGAUUGAAACACUGAUUUAGCUGCCAGUCAGGAGAGGAUUUUCACCAUUAUGGUAUCCAACAAGUUUAUCUGUGCACUGAUCUGCAUUCUGUGGCUGUUCAUCUUCGGUGGUUGAUGUAGCUUCUAACUAUUUAAUAGCCACCGGGUUCUAACUAUUGAGAAUUUUAUAGUUCUCAUGGCCAUUUUUUCUUGUUCUUAUGAAACUUACACAACAUUUUUCAGUUCAGUGGUGCAAAAGUUACUCUUUGUUUAGAACUUGGAGUCCUUUUCUAAAGUUUUUAAUAUAUGCACCGGGGGGAGGAGGGGAAGGGGCAGUGGGGCAUGUUCCCAAAACGUCUUAGAUACAUGUAUGACUAGAGGUGGCAAAAGGGCCAAGUAGCUCAUCGACGUAUCGAAACUCGGCCCAUGGACGGGUCGGGAUCAUUUCGGGACAAGCCCGAGCCGAGUGGAGAGCUCUUGGACUAGUAAAAAAUGUGAACAAAAAGUAAAAAAAUAAAAUUAAAAAGAAGAAGAAAAACUCGAGCAUGUGGGCUCGACUCAUCUUGGCUCGUGAACACAUGAGCUCGUGGGCAUGUGCUCACAGCCGAGCUUGGCCCUUGAGCAUGAGCCGAACUCAAGCUUGGCUCAUGCUUGAAUGAGCUUCAGCUUGACUCGUCAAGAUGACGAACCGAGCUCGUGGGUAUAUACCGGCCCCGUCCAUUGCCAUCCCUAUGUAUGGCAAGCUAUGUGCAUGUGUCUGACACGCUUCAUGUACCUGUCCCAACCACUUCGUGCAUGUCCAAUAGGCUUUGUGCUUUUUUAAAGGCCAUGUUGUUGUGCCAUGAGGUGUCCUAUAUUGUUUAUAGUUUCUUAAUAUAUGCAAUGUAAGUAAUAUUUCCCAAACAAGUACCAUUUUGUAAAUUUUGAAAAUAUAAUAGCGAAAUUUUAUUGCCUUAACCACAUGCAAUGGGGUCAAAUCUUGUUUAUCACUCAACUUACAUGCUUGUUCACAAAUGUAAUCUACUUUUUGUCUAUUAGUAGGCGUCUGUGUAAAAUUCACCCAGCUAAUCAGUCGAUAGAUUCUGUUUUAUAAAUCUAAUGGGAGGGACAGAGGAAGUGUACAACAGGGAGGACGAUUUUAUAACAAUCCUUACUAAACUUGAUGCAAAUUAACUGACUUCGCAUCAGCAAGUUUACUAAUCAGUGGUCAUUGAGGCAGUUUUAUUAGCAUUUGGUAGAGUAAGCUUAAUAUUAAUGGACGAAUAUACUACAGAAUGAAUGAUUUUUAAUUUGUGUCAAAGAGAUUAUUCCAAGAAGCCUGUCUGCUGACAUUAUUAUUAAUAGCCAUGACUCCACAUGUCCAUUUUGUGGACAAACAAGGGACAUACAGAAGGUAUCUGCUAGUACUCCCAAAGUCAUGUUCCAUGUCGAAAACAAGUUUGUUUCCAUAGUCAAGCAUCUGUUUUAGGCCCUGACGUAUAUUACCUGAAAAUGGAACCUGUUAAACUCGUAACAGAUGUACAACUCACCAUGGGUCGUCUAAUAUGUUGCGCCAUUCACAUAAAAGACCUCAGUUUUGAGAGGAAUUUGUUAACAUCAAUUUCGAGGUCAACAAGCAAUAUCAGCAGCAUGUACAGUUUGUGAUGUGGUGGUAGUAGCAAAUAUGUAGAGUACACAUCAUGAGCAUACAACGUGCAUAUAUUUCCCAGAUCUCACGACCCAACUCACAUGCAAAUAGUUGGGUAUUUUUGUCUAUCAAUUCAGUAUAUUUAUGUAGGUGAUCAAGAAACAAUCCAGCGUAUGGUUACUGUCAGUUGCACCACCACUCCAAGGAUGUUCUUUCCAAUGAGCUCAAGUCAAUUGACAAUACCACAACGGUUUUUUUAGCGUUAAGAAAGGUUGUUGUACAAUUACCACAUGAAAGCUGAACCCACGCAUAUGUUGCACAUUGAUGUCAAAAUUAUUAAAGAUGAACAAUUAAAAUUAGCUGCUAGUACAGUUUAUUUUUUUCUGUAAUCUUUCUAGCAUGUUGAUGUCAAGAAAUAAAAUAAAAUUAUUCCACUUGAUAAAGUAUCCUGCAUAUAAUUCCUGAAAUCUUGGGCAAUGAUAAUAUAGAAUUUCUUGUAGAACAGUAUAAAUUCUCUUUAGUCAUUGUUACUUAGAACUGAAUUCCUAUAUAUGAAUUCUCCACAAUUUGCCACAAUAUAUACAGUUAUAAAUGAAAGUUCACACGUGAUUGAAUAUUUAUUCAAAAGGGCUUAUUUGACCCAACAUCCUUUAAAAAGCAUGCAAAAAAUGUUGAUAAUUAGAAACAUUAAAUUUAUUACAUCGAGAGAAAUCAAUUCGCAAAAAUAAAAAAAUAAACAUUGAAGAACACGCAAAAUUCAUAGACGUUCGUUUCAGCUUGAGAUCCUAUCCUCUUUUACCAUUACAGUAUUCAUUAUGAUGAAAAGAAGUUUACAAGUCGUACAUCUACCUUCUAUAACCUCUCUUUCUCUCUUUUAUAUGAUUGUUAUAAAAAAAAAAAAAAAAAAAAAAAAAAAAAAAAAAAAAAAAAAAAAAAAAAAAAAAAAAAAAAAAAAAAAAAAAAAAAAAAAAAAAAAAAAAAAAAAAAAAAAAAAAAAUUNNNNNNNNNNNNNNNNNNNNNNNNNNNNNNNNNNNNNNNNNNNNNNNNNNNNNNNNNNNNNNNNNNNNNNNNNNNNNNNNNNNNNNNNNNNNNNNNNNNNNNNNNNNNNNNNNNNNNNNNNNNNNNNNNNNNNNNNNNNNNNNNNNNNNNNNNNNNNNNNNNNNNNNNNNNNNNNNNNNNNNNNNNNNNNNNNNNNNNNNNNNNNNNNNNNNNNNNNNNNNNNNNNNNNNNNNNNNNNNNNNNNNNNNNNNNNNNNNNNNNNNGGCGGUGGGGGGUGUGGGGGGGGGGGGGGUUAUUUUUUGAAGAAUAUGUGAUUCAUGUAGAAUGUUUUAUUAUGUGAAUGUGUGGUUGAAAAUUAGUAUGAGAGAUAAAUUAAAGUAAAUUAAAUUAAAAGCCACCAAACAGGGGCUUGAACUAUUCUAGUAUGUUAUCUUACCUUUCUCCCUCCCUUUUCUCCAUUUUUUUUUUUUCAGCCCGAGCCUUGUUUUUAUUUGAUUAACAUGUUUCCAAGUGCCAUUAUUUAGAACAUUACACUCUGCUAACUCUUUGGAAAGUCAAUUCGAGUAACUAUGAAAUUCCUUUCAAUUUGGCCCACUUUAAGGAUAUAUAAACCCUUUUGUAAGCAAACAACCUGUGAGAAUUACUCGUCUUUACAGAUCCCAUUUGAGAUUCUGAGAAAUGUAGUGUAGAAAUUUUUUUUUGAAGCAAGAUCCAGAAGAGCAUUUGAUUGGAGAAUUUCUCACAAGACUGCCCUGAUAUUGCCUCUGCAUUAUCUUAUCUGCACCACCAGUGUAAUCCACAUAGACAUCAAGCCUAGUAAUAUUUUGUGGACAAUUAAAGAAAUCUUUAUUUGUCUGGACUUGGAUUGUCAAAAUUUCUGGAUACCACAAAAACUCAUGCUACCACUCGGGUAGCCGGAAUUUAUGGAUACAUAGUUCCCGAAUAGGAGCAGAGAGGCUGGGUAUCCUGUAAUGCCCCAAAUUUUAUAAACGUCGGAACGUUACGAAAAACUCACUUUUCUUUAUUUUAAGUGUGGAACUAUAAAAAUAAAAUUCUUUAAUAAACAGAUAACUGAACCCUUCACAAAUUUAACUUAAAACAUGAUAAUCAUAUCUUUAAAAUAAACAUACUCAACUAACUAAUUCAAUAACAUUUUUAUUCUUCCAGAACAAAUCAAACUAAUUAAAUUAAAAGACAGAAAACUUAAUGAAUAUUUUUCGUCUUGGCCGUCCGCAUCACCAUUCCACAUCGUUCCAAUCGACCCACACAAAUCUGAAAAAUUAAAGUAAGGAGGAGUAUUUAAAAAUACCCAGUAAGAUAGGUGCAAUUUUCAUAUACAGAUAUAUAACAAUAAAAAUUACAAUUCAUACCAUCUGAUUUUAUAGAGUAUAUCGGUGACCAAGCGACAUUAGGUCCUCUUAUAAUCCCGUAGGAUUUCAUAUCUCUUUAAAAAAAAUGUCUACUAGCAAUCUAUGCAUUUUUUAUUGGACAUAAAUGCAUAAGGAAAUAAAAAUACUUUCACUUAAAGUAUCUUACCUUGUUAGAAAAAUCUGAAGCACGUUCAAAAUCUUUUCUCCCCUUUUGAAAAAUACGUGAUUAAAAUAUUCAAUGUAUGCAAACUUUAUUUCCAAUGCUACAUUCUCUCUCUCUCUCUCUCUCUCUCUCUCUCUACCUACUGUAUGUGUGAAUUGGUAUGAGUAAACUUUUCAUCGUGCAUAUAUAUAUAUAUAUAUUAAGUGUAGGCUAGAGUAGAUAAACAAAAAUUUGAUUUGACAGGCCAAAUCUUGCAACCAAUGUCUACUCACAAUGUACUUUAUUAUUAUCUUAUUCAACUACAAGAUAUCCACUAUCUUUAUCCAACCGUAUAUCAGUGUAUACUGAAUUUUGUUGUAACUAGAAUAGUAGAAUAGUGAAAAAAUGUGUCAUCCUAGGAAUCUUUAAAUCAAAACUAACAAAUAAUGAUAAAAAUCCCACCUCACCCGUUUUCUUUUUGGAGAGAGAAAAAAUAAACUAAUUUAUAAUCUAUAUAAAAUUACAUUUAUACCAUUUUCUUUCAAUUGAGUCUAACUUAAUGUGUCUUUAUCCAAAAUAACUUUUUUCUCGAGUCAAAGACUUCUAUUUAAUUACGAGCUAUCCAACGAGUACAAUAUUGAUAUACUUAUAAUUGUUCUAUCAAAAUCUAAUUUAUUUGAUCUAGAUAAAAUAGGAAUUUAUAUAAUAUACAAAAUAAAUAAAUUUUUAUCUAUAAAAUUUUUGGGUUGCUACAAUCUACCCUUCUUAAGAGAAUUUCGUCCUCGAAAUUUACCUGCGUUGGGAUCUUCCGUGGUCUGUCCGUCCUUGGGCUAAAGUAAAAACUCUGGCAUUUCCUUUCCUUUCUGGCUUAUCAUUCUCCUUCGAAAGAUCCUCUUUGUAGUUUUUGGAAAUAGCCCAAUUUUACCGCAUCUAUAGCACACAUGCUUCCCAUAUAGACAUUCACCCAUAUGCAUUUUUUUUGCACUUAGGACAAGGUGGAACGACUUGUCCAAAACCUGGUCCGAAGUUAGCCUUCUUAUUUGGUCCUUUGCCUUUCUCUUCGUUGGACCCAUUCCGUUUCCUCUUUCUUGAAGACUCAGCCCCUUGCUGGAGAGUUUGGUCAAUUUCCAACCUAUUUGAGAUUGCUUGGGCAGUCUGCAAUGCUCGGCUAUAGGUGGUGAAUUGGUGGGAUGAUAGUAUUCCACCAAUCUCAGGACGCAAUCCUAGUUCGAACCUCCUUGCUUUCUUUGCUUCAGUGUCCACUAGAUAUGGUGCAUACCUUGAUAGUUGUUCGACUUUUCUUUCAUAAUCCUCAAGCUUCAUUUUUCCUUGUUUAAGUUGAAGGAAUUCUGUCUCCUUUUGAUCUCUCAGAGUUUGGGGAAAGUAUUUUCCCAUCACUUCGUCCUUAAAUUGUGUCCACGUUAGAGCACGUUGUUGUGCUUUUGUUCUAGUACGAGAUGCUGACUUCCACCAGUGGCCUGCAGCGUCAACCAACAUGAAUUCUACGCAUAACACCUUUUGAGCAUUAGUGCAAGAUAGAUGUUUUAAGAUUCACUCCAUUCCUCUUAUUUAUUCUUCGGCUGCUAGUGAGUUUGCCUUGCCAUCGAAGGUUGGAGGUUUGUAGCGAUGGAACUGUUCCACAAUUGAGCUAAUGUUGUUAGCGUUUGCACCAUGGGGACCAGCCUAUGCUUGUUGCCUACCCAAGUCUUGUACUGUCCUUAGCAAAUCCCUGAUGAUUGUAGUUUGGUUUUGUUGUUGUCUCGAUAUUUUCUUAAUACAAAUAAAAUUUUAAUUUAGGAAUAUUUAAUAAAACAACAUAAUAUUAUUAAUAAUCUUUGUAAUAACGAAGAAUUUUAAAAAUAUAAAUUUUUAAAUCCUUACAUAUAGUAAUGUGCUCUUCAAAAUCAACUAAACAAUUAAAUUUUUCCUAAGUAAAUAAAUAACACUUAAUCCUAAUCCCUAUGAGUCCUAAAAAAAAUCUUCUUUUAUGGCAUCUCAUCAUUCGAAGUAAUUCAUGACUCUGACUCGGAAUCUGCAAUCAAAUCAACGAAAUUUUGUGGUUGCAUUUCCUGCUUAGAGUCUUCCAACUCUGGUUCGAUAUCUUCCUCUAGGUCCUCUUUCGACUCCUCCUCCGGGUUCUCCUCUGGCUCUGGUUCGGGUUUGGGAGCUGGUGCUUGUUGUCUGUGAUUCCAUAAAAUUAUGAUAUCCUCACAGUAUCCUUUAAAAUCAAUCUUGUCCCAAUCUUCUUCCAAAUAUAACUCAUAAUCCAUAUCCCUCACGAAGUAAGCCACGUCCCUCCAUUGAGGUAGCAUAGUGCUUAUAAGGUGGUAUAUCGAGAGGAUUGUCCCCUUAUUAUAUCCGAAUGAUCUUGCUCGUUCCCAUUUAGAAAGGAAAUCUUCAAAAUGUUCAACAAAAGUUCACUCCCAUCUUACUUCAUAAUUUAUAUAGUUCUCAAUGGCCAUUUCAGCACGCUGGAGGUAGGUUGGGUAAUUCCUAGUCAUCCUAAUCACGUGACAAUUAUAAUUUCAAUUAUGUUUAAUCUUGCAUUAUUUGCAUUAUUUUUUAUUUUUUUUGAUUUUUUUCUAUGCAUACACGAUAUUCUAGUAAAAUGUAAAAAUGACAAAUAUAUUAUACGAGGUGAACAUGCUUAUACAUUUCAUAACAUGUAGAAAUAUGACUCAUAACCAUGCUAGAAAUUAAGAAUGAAACGAAUUCAUUUCAUACCCGGGAUCAACUGAAGAGUAGUCGAAUGGUGAGCGCCACAUGCCAAGUGUUCUCAUAACAUUAUUUAUUUAAAAAAAAUUACAUUAUCCUUUAUACUCCCUAUUUUCUUUUCCUUUCUUAUUCUUAUUCUUCUUCUUCUUCUUCUUCUUUUUUUUUUUUAAAUAAUUUGACUAUAAUUAUAUAUGAAUUUCUUAGAAUAGAAAAGGUCAAGAAGUAAAAGUUCAUAACAACGGUAUAGUUAUUUAAAAUCACGUUAUAAAUGGUUAUUUAAACACAAACAUAUAAUACAUACAUAUACAUUCUUGAAAAUAAAAUCAUAGUAAUAACACAUAAGUACUAAUAGAACUAGAUAACAACCACGUAGUAUUUUAAGAAAUGUACUUAUAUUAUAAAAAUUAAUAUAUACUUAAAGGUAAUUGUGGGCUAACAUUUGAAAAGUUGGUUUCAAAGUAUGUACACAAUUACAUAUUAAUUAAGGCAUGUAAUCUCAUUUUACAUAAAAAAUUUAACAAAAUCUCACUUUAUAAUAUAUUAUUAUUAUUAUUAUUAUUAUUAUUAUUAUUAUUAUUAUUAUUAUUAUUAUUAUUAUUAUAAGUACAUGUAUACAUCUUUUAAUAAAAUUUUCUCAAAAUAGAAGUUUCAAAAUUUUGAAUUUUCUUAAAUUUAGAAUUGUCCAAAAUAUUGUCUUUCAUCUUGUCGAUUUGAAUAACGCACAAUUAAAAGGCUUCCAGAUGAGGAGGAGGGUCACAGACGGACUGCUUAAAUCCCAAGCUCUUCUUAAACAGUUUAGGUCUUUUUAACAAAGCCUUUCAAAUUUGAAAUUACAUAAUUCAACAAAAUUCAAACAAUAAAUCGAACAUGAAAUCUCUUAAAAUAUCAAUUUUUCAAAAGUCCAUUUUUUUUUUUAAACAUCCCCAAAAGCUAAAGUUAAAACACAUAAAAAAUUAUCAUAUGUAAGAUCUAAACCAUAGGCAUGAAAUUAUAACAAUUUGAACAAUCAUUUAUUCUUCAAAAUAAAGAGACAAAUGCAUGAAAAUAAAUGGGUAUUGAUGUGAAUGGUAAUCUUAACUACUACAAAAAGUGACAAAAUCUAUAAAAAAAAAAAAAAAAAAUUGCAAUAUUCAAAGUAUGUCACAUCAUAAUUAAAAUCCUAGAACUCUUUGCCAUGUCAUGUAAAACAUUUUUUUUUGGGUCUUUACUAUUACGUGAACAGUAACACUGUUCAAAUUUCAUUUUUUUUUUCAAAACUUUUUAAAAAUUUUUUUUUACUGUUCACGUGAACUGUUCAAUUUUUUUUUUCCAAAACAAGUCUAUAGAAAAGUCAAACCGUGCUCUGAUACCAAGCUGUAAGGCCCCAUUUUUCUAUAAACUUCGGAACGUUACGAAAAACUCGUUUUUCUUUAUUUUAAGUGCAGAACUAUAAAAAUAAAUUUUUUUAUUAAACAAAUAACUGCAACAUUUAUAAAUCUAAAUUUAAAAUAUGAAAAUUUUAUUUAAACAUAACAUAAACUCUUAACUAAUUCAAAUAACACGUUUGGAACAAAAUUAAACUAAUUGGUAAAUUUAAAGACGGCAAACUCAUUUAUUUUUCUUUUCGUUUGAUUCACUUAGUAGCCUGCAUCAACGCCCUUCCACAAUUCCAAUCGACCCGAACUAACCUAUAAAAAUUUGUAAGAGUGAGUAUUCGAAAACACACAGUAAGAUACGUGCAUUUUUCAUAUACAUAUAUAUAACAAUAAAAAUUACAAUUCAUACCAUCUGAUCUUAUGGAGUAUAUCGGUAAUCAAGCGACACACCCAUCUUAGGUCCUCUUAUAAUCCCGUAGGAUUUCAUAUCUCUUAAAAAAAAAAAAUCAAUGUCUACUUGCAAUCCAUGCAUUUUUUAUUGGACAUAAACGCAUAAGCAAAUAAAAACACUUUCACUUAAAGUAUCUUACCUCGUUUAUUUAAGAGUUGCAAAAUGGUUUCUUGCUUCUAGUUCCCAAAAGUACCCUCUCUCUCUCUCUCUCUCUCUCUCUCUCUCUCUCUCUUACGUGUGUAUAACUUUUGGUGUGUGAAUUAUGAAAUCCAUAUAUGGUACUUAUAGUAAUAAAAAGUGGUUGAGUUAUACUAGAAAACAUGUACCCUAUUGGAUAAAACCUAGUUAAAUAGGAUACUAGCUAUCACAUUAAAUUCAAAAUAGGUUAAUAUUAAACUAAAAAUAAUAUUAAAAUUCAAUACCCACCCACACGUUUUUGGAGAGAGAAAAUGAAUUGAAUUAUAGUUUAAAUAAAGUUAUAUUUAUCCUAUUUUCUUUCAAUUGAGUUUAACUUAUGCGUUCUUAUCCAAAAUAACUUUUUUCUCGAAUCAAAGACUUCUAAUUAAUUACGACCUAUAAAAUGAGUCCAAUAUCGAUAUACUAAAUUUCACUCUAACAAUAUCUAGUUAUUUGGAUAAAAUAAAACAGGAAUUUAAAACAUUUUUUCAUUUUAGACUUCAACUUAAAAAAAUGUAUAUAUAUAAUAUAUAAAAUAAAUAAAUUUUAUUCUAAAAUUUUCGGGGCAUUACAAUCUCCCCUUCUUAAAAGAAUUUCAUCCUCGAAAUUACCUCAAUUAGUUGAAAUGUUUUGGAUACUUGACUUUCACAUACUUAUAAUACUUCAUAACAUAAAGCAAGGGAACUAAUAUUCAUGCUAAAACUAAAAGAAUGAAAUUUCAUUUCAUACCUUGGGUCCAUCGAAGAGUGGUCGGAAAAGUGAGCGUCGCUUGCCAAGAAUUUUUUUUUUUUUAUAUCAUUACAUCAACAUGUGCUAAAACUUUACAAAGCUAUCCUUUAACUCCUAAGUCUCAUAAAAAUAUUUUAUUUUUUUAUACACAUCUUCUUCUUCUUCAUAAAUUACUCAAAAAUAGAACUAAACAUGUAAAUAUGCUUAGUCUAAAACAUGGGCAAUAAUUCAACCACAAUUUAAAUAUAAUCUGUCAUCAAUUCAAAAUCCAUCCAAAAAUAUUAUUAUUUAAAAUCAAGUUGAAUUCAAUUUAAAACUAUUAUUUAGUUAUUUAAAACAAUAAUUAAUAUCAAUCCUUAAACAACAGAAAAGAAAUUUUUUUUUUUUGAAAUGUUUGAAAUAUUGUUUUUCGCCUCGUUGAUUUGAAUAACGCGCAAUCAAAAGGCUUCUAGAUGAGGAGGGGGUCACAGACGAACCACUUAAAUCCCAAGCUCUUCUUAGACAGUUUAGAUUUUUUUGACAAAGCCUUUUAAUUUUGCAAUUAUGCAAUUCAACAAAACGCAAACAAUAAGUCUCACGUGAAAUUUCUUAAAAUAUAAAUUUUCAAAUUGGUACAUUUUUAAAACAUCCCCAAAUGCUAAAGUGAAAACACACAAAAAUUUAUUACAUGUGAACUUUAAAUUAUAUUUAAAUUCUAGACUACUAUUACUCGAAAUCAAUUUAAGCAACUAUUUGUUCUACAAAAUAAAAGAAUUCUUUUUUUUUUUUAGUCUACAGAAUUGAUUUUAUAAACCUGGGCUCUGAUCAAGCUGUAACGCCCCAAAUUUUAUAAACGUUGAAACGUUACGAAAAACUCACUUUUCUUUAUUUUAAGUGCGGACCUAUAAAAAUAAAAUUCUUUAAUAAACAGAUAACUGAACCCUUCACAAAUUUAACUUAAAACAUGAUAAUCGUAUCUUUAAAAUAAACAUACUCAACUAACUAAUUCAAUAACAUUUUUAUUCUUCCAGAACAAAUCAAACUAAUUAAAUUAAAAGAUAGAAAACUUAAUGAAUAUUUUUCGUUUUGGCCGUCCGCAUCACCAUUCCACACCAUUCCAAUCAACCCACACAAAUAUGAAAAAUUAAAGUAAGGAUGAGUAUUUAAAAAUACCCAGUAAGAUGGUGCAGUUUUCAUAUACAAAUAUAUAACAAUAAAAAUUACAAUUCAUACCAUUUGAUCUUCUGGAGUAUAUCGGUGACCAAGCGACAUUAGGUCCUCUUAUAAUCCCGUACGAUUUCAUGUCCCUUUAAAAAAAAUGUCUACCAGCAAUUCAUGCACUUUUUAUUGAACAUAAACGCAUAAGGAAACAAAAACACUUGCACUUAAAGUAUCUUACAUUGUUAGAAAAAUCUGAAGCACGUUCAAAAUCUUUUCUCCGCUUUGAAAAAUACAUGAUUAAAAUAUUCAAUGUAUGCAAACUUUAUUUCCAAUGCUACCUUCUCUCUCUCUCUUCCUUUCUCUCUCUCUUUCUUUCUUCUCUCUCUUCCUCUCUUUCUCUUUACUUAUCGUAUGUGUGAAUUGGUGUGAGUUAAACUUUUCAUCAUGUAUAUAUAUAUAUAUAUAUAUAUAUAUAUAUAAGUGUAGGCUAGAGUAGAUAAAUCAAAAUUUGAUUUGAUAGGGUCAAAUUUUGCAACCAAUGUCUACUGACAAUGUACUUUAUUAUUAUCUUAUUCAAUUACAAGAUGUCCACUAUCUCUAUCCAAACGUAUAUUGCUGUAUAGUGAAUUUUGUUGUAACUAGAAUAGUAGAAUAGUGAAAACAUGUGCCAUCCUAUAAAUCUUUAAAUCAAAACUAACAAAUAAUGAUAAAAAUCCCACAUCACACGUUAUCUUUUUGGAGAGAGAAAAAAAUAAAUUAAUUUAUAAUCUAUAUAAAAUUACAUUUAUACCAUUUUCUUUCAAUUGGGUCUAACUUAAUGUGUCAUUAUCCAAAAUAACUUUUUCUCAAGUCAAAGACUUCUAAUUAAUUACGAGCUACUCACGAGUACAAUAUUGAUAUACUUAUAAUUGCUCUAUCAAAAUCUAAUUUAUUUGACCUGGAUAAAAUAGGAAUUUAUAUAAUAUACAAAAUAAAUAAAUUUUUAUCUAUAAAAUUUUUGGGUUUCUACAUAUCCAAUAAGAUUAAUGCGUACAGCUAUGUUUUUCUUCUGUUGAAGUUAUUAUCUGACAGGAAAGAUCUUGACCCUUCAUUUUACUCACGCGAUGAUGGAUUCAACAUUGUUUCAUCAGUGGACUAGCUACUCAAACAAGGCCUUCUGCUCAGCCUACAUUAAAGUAAUUAGUCCUUCGACUUCAACAAUUUAAUCUGCCUCAUGGCUUGCCUAACAACAGUCUCUAAUUCCGAAUUGUCAUAUAUGAACGUGCCCAGGUUUGUCUUUUUGGUGUAGGUAACUUAAAAUAAUGAAGAUAUUUUUAGAUUCAUUAGUAAAACUUUUGCUCAAAUAACCAGGCAUGUAUCAAUCACAGUACGAUGUACUACCAUAUCCAACAGUAGCUUGUGAAUAAUAUUAACAGCAUGUACAAUUGUGAUUCGUGGACAUAGAAUAUGCAGUGUGCAAAUUGUGAGCAAAAAACGUGCCUGUGGUGUGACAGUUGACUUUUCGUAUUGUUUUCUUUUCUUAUUACCACAAAAUAAUGAGGAUUCGAUCAAAACAUCUAAGCAUUGUUUGUAUGUAUGCAAGCGGUGAAAUCAUCAAUCACUCUUGUGUGUGUGGCCCAGUAAGGAUUAUUUUUUCAGUCCAAUACAAUCCCAUUCCCAUUAUUAGAGUUACUAAAAUUCUGGAUAAAAACCACAGAUUUUAUUGCACCAACACCAUUCAUCCACCACAUAUCUUAGAAAAAGCCACACACAAUCCUAGUCUGACACAAGGUACUGAAAUGCAAUGGAAUUCACAGAUUUGAAACAAUUUUUGUUUUUUCUACAUUUUUUUGUGAAAAAAAUGGAGCAGGUAAAUCCUAUGAAAAUGAUGAUGCUAAAAUGAAGGAGAAGAAAAAGAAAUGUACAGGCAGUGGCACUUUCAAAUUCAAUGUUGCAGCCCCAGAUCUCAAUGCUGCAUGUGCAAAUAGCUGGGUAUUUUUAUCCAUGAAUUCAGUAUAUUGGUGGGAGUGGUGGCAAUUGGAUUUUAUGUAGGUGAUCAAGAAACACAUCCCAUGUUUGAUUCAUUGAUCCUAAAUUAACCAUUUAGAAGCCAUUAUUUGACCAAAUAUACAACACAACCCUCUAAUGAGCACGUAAAAAUGUCAUGCCACAAUGAACUAAGUUCCACGCCGAAGCAAUCAAAUAUAGAAGCGAAUGAAUAUGUGGACCCAAUCAUCCAUGAAGGAAUUGGAAGAAUAAUAUGACUUUUGGGCAGAAACAAGCCGCUCAAGACCAAUAAAGCCCUUGAGGCCACCCUUUUUCUUGCUAAAUCCAUCGUUUCAGCAGUCAAAUUUCAAACAUUAUUAUUUAGAUGAAAAUUGAAUUUUAUUUAUUCACGUCCUCAUUUAAUUGUUAGGAAAUUAGUUUCAAUUAGGUUUCGAGAAUUUGUCUUUGCUUAGAAUACUAAGUUAGGGCUUAUUAUUUGCCUUCAAAAGUUAGAAUUAGGGUUCAUUGUAAAUUGGUUUUUAUAAAUGAAAAAUUAAAAAUUUCACAAUUCUUCUAAUUGUCCCAUAUUCCAAGUCAAUUGAAGAUUUUCUGCAGUGAAUAGAUUACAUGAUUUAGUAGGUUUUGUAUGGGAUAAUUUUUAUAGAUUGAAAAUAGUAAGGAUAAACUUUAAUGGACUAAAUAGUGAAAGAAGGAAUUUGUAAUUUACUAGAAUAGAAUUUUACAAAGUGGGUUUAUUACAAUGAGAGGCUUGAGGCUUUUUCUUUCUAAUUCAAUUGGCUACAAAAUUUUCAAAGUGGCAGACCCCUUUUAUACAUACACAAUGGCUGUGGAAGCAUCAUUUUUUACUACUAAAUAAUUUUACUUAAUUGCUAUGGAAUCUAGAAAUUUCUAUUUUAUAUAUUUUGUUAUGUUUUGCUUGCUCAUUAGGAAAUUCUCUGGACUUCUAUUUAUUAUUAGAUUUCUUGCUCCCCAAGGUAAUUCUAGUGAAUUCUAGAAUGAGCCCUCAAGGGCAUAGUCUAGUGGUGCAAAAAAUAGGAGUGAGGUUAUCUCACGUUUUGCUGGCAGCCGCAGUGUGGGGAUUCAAUUCCUGAGACAUGGAAUUAGACUCCUUGUUGGGGCACAUCCCACGAUUUACCUCCCCCCCCCCCCCCCCCUCUUCGUUANNNNNNNNNNNNNNNNNNNNNNNNNNNNNNNNNNNNNAAUUAUAGAAUAACCUUAAAAUAUGCAACAACCAUCAAUAUCAAUCAAUGAACAUUUGAUGUCCAAGUGGAAUGACAUCUGGACAGGGCUGUAGAAACUGAUUAGUACUUGGAAUUGUUGAGAGCUCUUUCUUGUUUAGCUUUGUCUAGACAUCGCAUCAUAAUCCAAUUAUUCUCUCGCAUUUCAUUUUUGUCAGUUCAGUUCUCAGACGUGGUUAUCACAUUCUUCAUUCUAGAUAUAGUUGGCACUGGAAAUGUUAAACAGAGAUGUCUUUGGGGAUGUGAAUUUAGGUAUUGAGUAAAAAAAAAUAAAGAACUUAGAGCCAAUCCUAGAGGAAAUCAUUAUGCUUGGGAGCUCGUAUGAAAGGUUUCGGAACUGAGUCUAAAUUACGUGGGGAGUUGGAUGUUUGGCUGCAAUGCAAGAAACCAUGUUUCAGGACCAAAGUUGAGCAAAAUUGCUUAAGGAUGGUGAUAUAUAAAUAUCACCUUCUUCCAUUACAUGGCUACAAUUAUAAAUCAACAGCAAUUGAUGACAAGACUUUGGCUCGGUGAUAUUUUUGUGGACAAUCAGGAGGAGAUAAAGUGUGGCAUUGUGCAUAUUUUCCAGUCGCCUUCUUUGGCCGAUGAGAGUCAGGAUGCUGUAGACCAGAACACUAUGACGAGGUGAUUCCUAUACUUAUAACUGAUGUCUAUUAUCAGACUUUAUCGGCUUGCCCGUCAUUACAGAAGGUUCAGGAGACUAUUUGACAUGGAUCCUCGCAGAACACAGGGCCAAGAUCAGGAUGGCUUCACUGGUAAUUUUUUUCCAAUAUUAUUGGGAUAAAAUUGAAGAAGAUGUGAUUAGUGCGGUCCAACAUACUUCAGGUAUAAUUCACUCAUGACUAGAAUUUGUUCGAGUUUCAUGAUCUUAAUGCAAAAAUUGCAGGAAGCAGAUUUUCCGGAUCAAUUUAGUCCUAUUGUCGUCACAAACUUUCUUCUGAAAAUCAUCGCUUAGACACUGGCAAGCAGAUUGAUGGUUCAACCCAGGAAAAUAGUGUCAACUAAUCAAUUUGGAUUCAUUCAAGGUAGGCAUAUGAUAGUUUAUUUUGUACACUUACUUGGGCCUUUAAGCUGAAGUAUUUAUUGGUUAUUUUGAUGAAUUUUAGCUUAAUUCUAUGUGUAUUGUGUUUACUAGGUACAAAUCGACAUAAAUGGCAGAAUUGGAGAAAAAAGUGUGAAAAAUGGCUCAAUUGCAAGAUAUCCAAAGUUUGGGGGGACUAAAAUGCAAAUACUCGAAAGUUGUGUCAAACCUCACGAUUAAGAUUCAAGGGUGUUAGGGAUCAGUUGGAUGAGAAAGUAAAUCAAAUGGGUGAAAUAUAGUUAAAGUGCUCUCAAACAUCAAAUUUUAGUUGAAAAAGUUGUGCUCCAAGUUUUCAGCCUGAGAUUUCGACUCAUUUUUGGUAGAGUAAACAUUGGAAUUGAAAAAACAAUAUUUCUAAACGUAUUGUAACUCUUUGAAUUAGCUUUUCAACACACCUUAAAUUGUCUUAAUCGAAUAUCAAAAGAGCAAGAUAUGACAAACAUACUGAUAACUCAUCUGGAUAUAUACAGAUUUUUAGGCGUGCGCCUGGACACCUUAUGCAGGCGACUGAAUCCAAAUUCAGCUUUAGAGGCACACAUCACACACUAUACUAGGUGAGCGCCUAGAAGAAAAGUGGGAAAUAAAUUUAUUUCCUUUUCUUGAUUCGGUAAGUUUUGGUAUGUGAUAUUUUGCAUCUUUUAUAACCUAAAGGAUGUCCAGAACAGGGGCGAGAUUGUUUUUAUCAUGGAAAUUGAAUAUAGCAAGAAGAAAACAAGAGAAUUUACAACAAAAUUCGAAGGUGCAAAGCUUGAAUUAAAGAAUAAAGUGCAAUGAAUUGAGUUUCAAGUUCUUUAUCCAUUUCUUUGCUUUAGGUGAUGUCUUUUCACAUCUUUGUGUGUAUCUUUUGUAUUGAAUGAAUGAUGAAACAUUUUAAUUCAAGACAUGAGUAUUUUAAUUAAUUCUUGUGUUUUUCUAUUAAAUAUGCAUUAUUAUUGUAUUGUUGAAAUAUUUGCGCACCAGUUAGACAAUUAGUUGCUUAUUUGUAGUGUUAAGAGACUAACUGUAAGUUUCUGCAUAUUUGAUAUAUGGACAAUAUUAGGAAUAAUAAAUCUGGCCUGUGCAAUGUGGGGAUUGAAUAUUUCUUUAUAUAUGAAUUUGGACUAGGAAUAGGAUUGAGUCGUGCUUAUGCUAUGUUUAAUAUAUCUUGGAAAAUAAUAUUAGAUAUUGAUAGAUUAUCAUUUGUCACAAGCACUUAAAGAACGCUAACUUACAUAAAUCUUGGGAAUAGAGAUCAACGGAUGGAUUCUAAAAUCUGAUACAUCUAUCUCAUUAUUUGAUAAAAACAAAUCUUUUUUGCAUAGCUUAAGUUAGAAUAAUUACAAAACCAGCAUAUCUUUGUGUUACAAAUAUUGAAUUUGAUACAAACUAGUAAUCUAUAGUCAAAAAUUAUUCCUUUUGGGAUGAUUACUUAACUCAUCAUUUUUUAUUUUUUAUUUUUCAACGAUCCCCUAUGCUUGCGAGUUUUGUUUGAACAUUAUAUUGAGGAAUAUUGCCGAGAUAGUCUAAUAUAUUGCGAGACAUUAGCAUAAAGGAUCAUGAAACACAUUCAUCAAACAUAUUGUAGUGUUGAUAGUGUGCAGUUCUAGUAUCCAAAAGAUUAUAAAAUAUUUUCAAUUUUCCCUUGGGACAUCAUCAGUAGCUCUGUUUUUUGUAUAACAUGACUAAAUCCAAAGCAAUCGAAGACAUUAAAUUAAUCAGACUCAAUGUUCUCUUUGUAUUCACAAUCAAGAACAAAAAUAUUCACCAGUAAUUAGAUUAUAACAGCAAACCACACAUUCGCAUGCAAUGGAAUUCAAUUUGAAGGGAGGAAAAGAAUCCCUCAUUAUGUUACCAACCUUCGUAUAGACAUAAGCAACAGUUUUGCUUUCUCCCAGGUACCUGAUUGGGUCGGUCUUAAGGCUAAAAGGGUUGUCAACAAACAGAGGCUCCUAGCUUAAUUAGGAUUAUCAAUGAGAGAGCCAUGAUUUACUCACUGACAUACAUUAAACACAGAUUUAGACUCAAAAUUGGGCAUGCAGUGGAUUCAGAUAUUCAGAUUUAGCCAUUUGUGUUGCCAGAAUUUAUGGGUACAUGGCUCCAGAAUAUGAGCAGAAAAGGCAGGGUAUACAAUAAGGUUUAUUAUCUGACAAGAAAGAUCUCAACCCUUCAUUAUAAUGUAUUUAUUUUUUAUUUUUUCCAGAUUCAUUAGUAAAACUUUUGCUCAAAUCACAAGGCAUGUAUCAACCACAACAAGCAAUAUUAGUUGUGAAGAGGUGGACGUGGCAAAUAUGUAGCGUGCAUAUCAUAAGCAUACAACGUGCUUCUGGUGUGCUAGUUGUUACCUCCGAAAAAAUGAAGGAUUUAGUCAAAACAACUUAGCGUUGUUUGUGUGUAAGAAAGCAAUGAAAUCAUCAAUUACUUGUGUGUGCUGAAUAAGGAUUAUUUCUUUGGCCGAAUAUAAUCCUAUUAUUAGAGUUACUAUAAUUCUGGAAAACAACAAUAGAUUUCAUUGCACAAACACCAUUCAUCCACCACCUAUCUAUGAAAAGGGUACACAUUCUUACACGUAUACAAGGUACUGAAAAGCAAUGGAAAAACACAUUCAAAACAAUCACACCCCGUNNNNNNNNNNNNNNNNNNNNNNNNNNNNNNNNNNNNNNNNNNNNNNNNNNNNNNNNNNNNNNNNNNNNNNNUAUUCCCAUUAAAUUAUAAUUCGUUUUUCACUCUCUUCUUAUCAACUACAUAUUUUCCAAUAAAAUAAUAUUACUUGUAUAUUCAAAAACUUUUCUUUCAUUUUUAACCACACAUUUUUCAAAAAUUACUAUUUUUCUCAUUAUAAUGUGAAAUAAUGAGGUCCAAACGGCUUAGUUUUCGGUUACAUUUUUGAGUGAUGCUACAGUUACAGGGGCCAGGUUCACAAGCCUUGCCAGGGAAGACACAAGGUGGGCCCCACAAUAUUUUUUUUUUACAAUACAGGUGGGCCCCUCCACACAGUGAGGGGCCAGUAAAGCCCCUGUGGAAGAAUGCUUUGCAUUUUUUUUGUUAAAAAAUGGAGAGGUAAGUCCUACAGAAUAAGAUGAUGUUGAAAUGGUGGAGGAGGAGAAUAGAAAGGAAAGUACAAGCAGUGGCACUUUCAGAUUCAAUGAAGUGGCUCCAUGUGCAAAUAGCAGGUAUUUUUAUCCAUCAGUGUAUUGAUGGGGGUGGUGGGACCACUUAAUUUAGCUGCAGGCACAGUAUUUUUGGGGUAAUUUGUGGUAGCAUAUUGAUUUAAUAAAUAAAAAAAUAAAAAUAAAAAUUGCUCCAUUUGAUAAAGUAUAUUUCCUAUAAUUCCUAAAUAAUUCAUUCAGAAAUGCUCAUUUGACCAAACCUACAACAUAACACUUUGAAUCAUGCUACAAUGACAAGCUCAUUGGCAGAUUAAAAAACAUGGACGACGCGUAUCAAUGCAUGAUUGGAUAGUUCAAAGAAAAAAGGAAUGCGUUGCCACCCCACUGUGUCAUCCUAUCCCUUUCAAACGCCCAUGUUCAAGGAGCAUUAUUCUAACCCUUUAACGAGCAUGUAAAAAAAGUCAUUCCAUGAUUAACUAAGUUCCAUGCCAAAGCAGUCAAAUAGAAAGAAGCAAAACUAUAUGUGGACGCAGUCAAUUGUGUCAGAAUUGGAAGAAUAAUAUGACUUUCUAGGCAGAUGACGGCUAAAGCCCUUGAGGCUGCUGGUUUUCUUGCUAGAUUCCUUAAGUUAAACAUAAUUCUCAAGGAUGGUGAUAUAAAUAACACCUUCAUCUGUCACACGGCUACAAUUAUAAACCAACAGCAAUUGAUGACGAGACUUUGGCUUGGUGAUAAUUUUUUUGGACGAUCAGGAGGAGAUAAAGGAUUGUAUUAUGCAGAUUUUCCAGUCCCUUUUUUGGCAGAUGGGAGGCCGGAUGCUGUAGACCAGCACUCUAUGAUGAGGUGAUUCCUAUACUUAUAGCUGAUGUUGAUAAUCAGACUUCGCAUAACAUGACUGAAGACGAAGCAAUUGAAGACAUUAGAUUCAUCAGACUCGAUGUUUUCUUUGUAUUCAAAAUCAAGAAAAAAUGUUCGCCAGUAAUUAGAUUAUAACAGUAAAUCACACAUUCACAUGCGUUGGAAUUCAAUUUUAAGGGAGGAAAAAAUCCCUAAUUAUGUUACCUUUCAUGAUAUUGUUGGGUUUUUCAUACCCAACAAAUCCCGGGUUAUGAUGUUAAUGUGGGUUAAUGUAUUUCAUAGGCAUAGGCCAACAACCAAGUCCAUGAGCUCCACCCGGUCCAAUUAUAUUCCCUUUUGGAUGACUUGAAUCUUGGCCCGUUUACCUUUUUCUUUGGUCCAAUUAAAAACCUAACCCUAGACUAUUUAUAAGACUACAACCCUAGCUAUUUUCUAGUGUGAUUUGUGUGUGAAUUAAGGAGAAAUUCGGCUGCCCCCUUCGAGGUGUGAAAAAAGGUCCCUUUGGUGUCCAAAACUAGUUGAUUACUUUGUGUGAUUUUCGGUUCCUUCAUCACCUACCUUUGUGUUGUUUUCUCCUUGCCUUUGUGGCUACAAAUCAUACAAUUUCUUGUCCUUUGUGGGUAAGAUUGAAUAGCAAUUAAGGUGAAUAUAUUGUUGUGGAUUGGAGUUGGUUGUUUGGUAGAGAAAUGUACAUUGGACUGAACUCGAAAAACACCGAUUUGAAGAUCCUUGGAGUGAGCUUCUGCAACAGAUAUAACUAGAUGUCCAUUUUAGAAAUUAGCUUAGAUUUCCAAGGUUCGGAUAGACAUAAGUGACAGUCUUGCUUUUCCCCACGUACAUGAUUGUGUUUGUCUGAAGGCUAAAAUAAUUGUCAACAAACAGAGGCAAGCGAGGAUUUAUCAAAGGGGCUUCUAGCAUAAUUAGGGUUAUCAAUGUGAGGAAGCCAUGAUUUACUCAUUGACAUGCAUUAAACACAGAUUUAGCCUCAAAAUCGGCAGAGGAUUUUCAUGAAAUUGUUAUUUGACAAAUUGUUUAUCUGGGAAUUGAUCUCCAUUUUCAGUGCUAGCUAUUCAUCUUCAAUAUAAUCACGGUUGAUGUUGCUUUCAUCCAUCAAGAAUUACAUAGUUUCUGUUGGGUUUUUGAUAUCCAAUAAAUUCAAGGCUAUAAUGUUAACAUGGGUUAAUAUUAUUUCAUAGACAUAGGCCCAUGAAUGAAAUAAGUUCAACAACCAAGUUCAUGAGUUACACCUGGCCAAAUUAUAUUCCUUCUUGGAUGCUUGAAUUUUGGUCUGUUUACUCCCUUAAUGGUCCAACUUAAAGCCGAAACCUAGAGUAUAUAUAUAGAUAUAACCCUAACCACUUUCUUGUCAUGUUUUGUGUGGUUUUGUGAGAGAAAUCAAGGAAUCCCGGCUACCCCCUUUGUGUGUGGAAAAAAGGCCUCUAGAAGUGUCCAAAACGCUUGUUUAAUGUGUGCAAUUGGUGGUUCCUUUAUAGUAUACCUUUGUGGUGUGUUUUCCUAGUCUUUGUGGCCACAAAUCAUCAUCCUUUCUUGUCCUACUUGGUUAAGAUUGAAUAGCAACCGAGGUAAAUUAAUUGGUUGUGGUUUGGAGCAUAUUGGAUUGGUUGUUGGUAGAGAAAUGUACGUUGUACUGAGCUCGGAAAUCACCAAUUUGAAGAUAUUUCAAGAGAGCUUCCACAACAGUUUCUAGGGACAUUUUUUCUUGUUCUUGUAAAACCUGUGUGCUAUUCAUUUAGUGGCGCAAAAUUUACAGUUUGCUGAGCACAUGGUGUCCAUUUCUAAGAUCCUAAAAAUACGGAGGAAAUGUUCCCGACACAUGGCGAGUACAUACCUAACAAGCUUUGCACACAUCUGGCACCUCUUGUGCACGAGUUUCACACUUCCUUAUGUGCAUUUCACAGAUCAUAUGGUGUAUCCUAAAACUUUAAAAUAUCUGCAAUGCAAGUAUGAUUUCCUCAACAAGCCCACAUUGGAAUUUUUUGUGAACAAUGAAGGGAACCCGAUAGUAAUCUUGUAAUACUCCGAAAUUUUAUGCUCGUUUAUUUUGCUCGUUUAAAUUUUUUAGGAUAGCAAUUUAACUUUCAAUAUUUUAUUGGCCAAAAGAAAAGGGGGGCGCCACCUUUGUAGUAGUUAAUGCUAGAGGUAGUUAAUGAAUGCAUGCAUGAAGUGCUAAAUGUUAUGUAUGCAUGAAGUGAUUAUUAGUUAGUCAAAGUCUAAGUCAAAUUUGGAUUUAAAUGAAGUAGAUUAUUUUAUUAGGACUUCAAUUGACCAAAUUAUUAAAUUAUUUUGUUGGGGUUUAUUUUACAAUCUACAAUAUUUGAAUAUGUAAGUUGGAUACAAAUUUAAUUUUGAGAUACACUUUGCUAAUAAUGAAAGUUAGAGGGAUUAGGUUAUAUUAUUUGGAAAAUGAGAGACUUCCCUUGUAAAUCUAGAAUUUGUGGCCACUUAUUAUCCUAUAAAUCAAACCACUUGUCAUUUAUCAUUAUCAAACACUCAUGCACUAAGCUAAAAACGUGUUGAAGCAAGAAAAAAAAAGAAAAAAAAAUGGAAGUUAGCAAAAGUGAGGCGGUGGGAUCAAAUUCAAUCCAUUAUCCUUAUUAUAUAUAUAUAUAUAUACAUAUCCAUUGCCAUAGCAUAAUUACUUUCACUUUACAAAACACUUGCACACACAAAUAGAGAGAAAAUCGACAGGAAGAAGGAAAAAAAAAAGGGAAAGGAAGAAAAAGGAAGCAAAGCCUAGCAUUCUCAAUUCAUCUCUUAGUCGAAAUUUCUUCAAGUUUUACCAUAAGAUACUUUCUAUGCUUAAGUGGUAUGAUUUCAUGGUAAUAUUUAUGCUUAAACUAUGCAUGAAAAACCAUAAUAUAAAUAUGGUGGACAAUUUCACAAAGUUAGAUAUCUAUUUAUGCCUUAGGACAAGUCCGAACGGCACUGGCAAGCCGGAAUGUGCAAAUAUGUGUUUGAUUGCAUUCUUUUGUGUAGUAUUAACAUGUUAAAAUCCAAGCAUGGUAUCUUAAUGAGUAUUCCAUAUACUCAUAGUAAUCUAUACUGAAUUUUCAGAUCCAUAAUUGCGAAGUUGGUGGAAGUCAAUCGGCAUAAUCGAUGAUGGGUUAGGGACAAUGUUGUUUUGCAUCGAAGUUUUGUUUUUGCAUGUUUUGUUCGACUGCUUUCCAUAUGUUUUCUUAUGGUAUUGUAUAAAAACAUGUAUAAGACAUGAUGUAAUAUGGUACCGGAAGUAAAUUAUGCAAUUAUAUCUUCUAUGUUGUGUUAAGAGACAUUUUUUUAAGAACUUCUCCUUGCAAGUGACAAAAGGCAGAAACGGAACAGUUUUUGGGUCAACUUCAAAACGAUAUUUCCAACUCUAUAAACAUCCAUUUGAGACUCUAAAAAUACUUCUGCUGUCCUCUUUGAGUUUUCUAAUUAUGCAAGUAGGAAUCACUCAAUUUGGAUAGCUACGGCCUGAGAUAUAAAUUUUUAAACGUAGAGGGGUCAAUCUGGAUUUCCUGUGCAAUACUUCACUAUUUUCAGUAAAACGCCCAUAUCAUAUGAUCUUGGAAAAUUUUCAUAUUUUAACCUAGAAAACUGCUUGAAAUUAUCUUUCUAAUGCCACAAAUUUCAUAGAAAAUGGAGUUGGGAUGAAUUUUAUAAAAAUAGUCGAACUUGCUGCCCCAACUAACCGUGGCAGCGCCGAGUCCGUAUAUGUAAAGUAUAAUUUCAUGUCGACAUGCACUUCUACCGGCCAUUAAAUUUUAUGAGAGAUAUUUUACCAAAUUGAAAAUAAGUUUCUAACAUGUAAUACUUCUAUUUAAGAGUAUUUACAUGUACCAAAGGCAAAAGCUAUUAUGUUUAGUACGUGACCCUCGAAGCUUAAGUUCGGGGUGUCACAAAUCUCAACUUCAUAUUUUUGUCAAAAACAAGUUUCUUUCCAAUGUCAAUCAAUCCAUGGUAGGCACUAAUAUAACCUGAAAAUGGAACAUUGUGAAUUCGAAUCAAUGGAUGUACCGAUUACUAUAGGUCAUUCAUUCUAUUAUGCCAAUCAGGUAAAUGACCUAUGUUACCUGGGGAAUGAUGUCUAUUUUCACUGAACACAUCUCAUAAAUGUCUCUAAGUAGCAUUGCAACAGUGUCCAGUCACUACAACAAAAGUAGCUUUUUACGACAUUCAUUUACAGCCUUCGUGUCCUACACGAUGUUAAAAAAUAAACCACUUUUAUGGCAUUGCUUUAUACGUCAUUUUGCUGUACGCCAUAAAGUAUUAUUUACGGCAUACAAUGCAAGCCAUAAAAAAUAAACUUUGUUGUAGUGAGUUCUGGUUCACAAUGAACUGAAAUAUUUUAUUUUUCUGCUGGGACACCCUGAAUAGCUCAUUUUAUUUUUCUCCUUACAGGAUUGAAACUAGGGCCAGUGAAAAAAUAAAAAUAAAAUGCCAUCAGAUUCAACGUUCAUUCACUUGAAGUGGUCAAUUCAACAUUCAUUCACUUACAGUUGUCAAUUCAAUCAUUAAAACAUAUUUGACAGUAACCAGAUUACGUACUGAUAUGAAAUGGAUAGCAACAAUAGUGUUUACAGCGAACCGUACCUUCACUUGAAAUGGCGCAUUCAAUUCAAAGGGAGGAAAGAACCCCAAUUCGUUACUUGCAAGAUAUCAUAGAAGUUCAUUAUCGAGGUUAAAUCUUCUCCAGGGUAAAGUAAAGUUUUAUCCUAAAUCAUGAAAGGGCUAGAAUUAAAACGUUCAAUGGCAGCACCAUACGGAACAAUAAUAGGCUUCCUUGCGUUAAUGAGAAAAAAAAUUGGGUUAUCGAAGGGAAUUAAACAAAUGACAUUUUGGUUGCAAUUGUUACCAAUGUGGAUCUAGAUUAAAUGCUAUAAGCUCUAGCAAUUGCCUAGUUUUUCAGGGAGUAACGUGGAGAUAAGGACAACUUAUCAACUGGAUUAAUCCCUAUCCAUACAUAGUAUGAGGACAUCCCAGUUUUAAUUAUUUUUAGUUGGACUUUUAUUUCUUAGUUGGACUUGGGUUAUUUUAUUUUUAUGGACUUGUGUAUUGGGCUUGGCCCUAUCUUUUAGGUUUGCAGUAUUUUCAGUAUUUAAACCUAUUUUACAUUGUUAUUGAGAUGAUGAAUUAAUUGAAUAAAAGUUGGCUGCAGCCUCUAUGUUUUCUUCCCCCGGUUUCCCCUUCUUCUCCUCUCCCCCUUUCUCCUUCUUAUUUCUUGUUAUUCAUCCUACAUCAAAUUGGUAUCAGAGCUCAACCUGGUUUUCAAUCUCAUUAACAGAAAAUUGGAGUCAAAAUUACCAUGGACGUGAUGCAAGAUGUGCUGUUCAACACCAUAACUCCCUGUCCAGAAGGUAACACAUCCAUCCUCUCCAACCCACACACAAACAUCUAACCUAAUACAUCAUCACACCACCCAACCGCCUUCUGCAACCGCAAAUCCCCAGCAACCAUCUGCAGCAAUUCGCCAACGGCAAUUGAACUCCCCACAUCAUAUUCCCCACACCUCAAACCGGCUACUGCAAAAUCCAAAAACCGUCAUCCUCAGACAAAAAAAAUCAGCCGCUUUCUUCAUCCAUUACAAAUACUUUACCCAAUCCCUAACCCAACUGCGGCAAUCAACUGUCGGGUUUUUCCAGUAAUCGCCGUCCAAGCCCAACUACCGAAAACAAUAAUACCAUAACCGCCUCCUCCAAACUCGACCCAAUUAUCUACGUCCCAUCUUCUCUACUAAACCUUAACCCUACAGUCGCUGCAAACUAAACACGACACCCACCCGUAGUCAACCACCAUAUUAUCUUCAUCCAAAACCAAAAACGGAACCAUCUCUGACUACGAAUUCGGACUUCUGCUAGUAAACCGGCGCCCCACAUCGUUGAAACUCUCCUUCGAGCCAGCCAACAUCACAGGCGCCGACUCCCACAGCUUUCAAUCGGGUUGGUUUAUUAGUUAUCAAUUGGGUUUGGGCUUAAUUUCAAUCAGUCUGGUUUAUUUGUAUCACUUGGGUUUGGGCUUAACUUCAAUCGGGUUGGAUUUAUUAGUUAUUGCUUGGGCUUGGGCUUGAGCUUGAUUGAGAUUUUGAGUGUGAUUUAGGCCCAAAAUUUGUGAAAUGGGCUCAUUUAUUAUUUUGUUAUUCUGAUUUUGUAUUAUUUAAAAAGAAAAGAAAAGAAAAGAGCAAAAAAAAAAAAAAAAAAAGAGAGUAAAAAAAAAAAAAAUAAUAAUAAUAAUUUUGAGAAUUUCCUAACAUUAUUUUACAGGUACAUUAUUUCCUCGACGACCACGAAAUUUUCUAUCUUGGCAUCUCAGUGCUUAACAGUUCAGAAAGUAGAGGCAUUCGACGCUAAGACGACUCAGGCCAACUGAACUCAGGGAGCCUCUGCUCCUAUCUAUUUUUUAGUGACACUGUUGCUGUAUUUUAGAAUUGCAUCAUUUAAUUCUUUGUGUUGCUAAUAUUUUGAUAAUUUAGCCUUAAAUCUAUUGGAUUGAAAUUCACGAGCCGACCCCAUUGUUCACUCGUUUACCCCACGUGACUAGACCUAGCAUUUGUACCUUUGUUUUUUAUUUUAUUGGCAUUAGUAGUAUUAGCUUGCAAUCGGGCCAUACGUAAUCCCUAAAAUAAAAUAAAAUAAUAAUAAUAACAAUAGAUAUAUUUCAGUCACUAUUUUCCCUGCUGGCACUCGUUGGUUGUUGAUCUCAGUAUGCAUUUCACCUAGCUAGUGUUACCGUACAUGCAAUUGCGUAGUGGUCACGUUACUGCCUCUAACUCUAGUACCCUUGCCAUGGACCCUUCCCACAUUGAAGCUAUCACCCGACAGUUGGCACAAUUACAAAAUCAAUUAACGGCUAUCCAAACUGAGUUAGCCACUACUCGUGAGGAGAAUAAAGCCCUAACCGCUAGGGUAAACACUCUUGACCCAACCCAAUCCUCAACUGAGGCUGAAAAUUCUAACGCUUCCAUUAAUAGACCACAUCAUUGUCCACAAGGUGGUCGACACCAUGCUAGACAUGAUCGUAGGGAAGGAAAUCAAGCUCGUGGACGCGAGCGGGAAUAUCACCGUCAUGGUACACUAUCUCCCCCUCACCACGAGGAGCGCCUCUUUCGAAAUAUUAAGUUAGAUGACCCUACAUUUGAUGGUUAUCUAGAUCCUAGUGUAUUCAAUCAAUUGGUUAGAGAUAUGGAUCGCUUCUUUGCCUGGUAUGGGGUCCCUAAAGAUCGGAGGGUACAAUUUGCCAGUUUGAAAUUAACUGGCACAGCUCAACUGUUUUACGAAAGUGUUGAGGACCUCCUAAAGAGGCGCCAUGCUCCCCCUGUUGGGAACUGGGAUGAAGUGAAGCAUCGCCUUGAAGAAAAAUAUUUACCUCAAUCUUAUAGGGGCAACUUGCUGGAUCAAUGGAACGCACUUACGCAAGGCAGUCGACCUGUGACCGAAUAUGUUGCUCAAUUUGACGAGUUUCGAAUGAGAUGUCAGGUCGUUGAGGAUGAAGUCAUGACUUUGAGUAGGUUUAGGCACGGGCUACGGGAUGAUCUUAGACGUGAGCUUGUUCUUAGAGGUAUCACCACUCUUGACCACGCCUACUCUUUCGUUCGGGAUUACAAGUUAGUGACUAGGACACCGUACAGAAGUCGUAGUGACUCAUGAACUGCAACCUCUUCUGCAUCCACUCCAUCCUUAAGUCUAUUCUAGGACCUUCUCCUUCUAAUACUCCCCCUACAUCGGAUAGUAAAGGUAGAGGUUCUGAGAUUUCAAGAACGUCAUCUCGUUUUCAAUGCUUCAACUGUAAGGGUUUUGGUCACAUUGCUUCUAAAUAUCCUAGCCGAGCCCUAGUUUUGGAAGAGCGUGAAGGUAUAGUUGACGAACCACUAGAGGAUCAGGUUAAUGAGCCUAAGUUAGAAGAGUUUGAUGACUUGGAGGAUAGUGAAGAUACCUUCUUGGGUUGUAUCCAGGCUAGUCCCCUUAUCCCACAUACGCCUAGAGUCGGUGUUGUCCGUUGUACUCUUACCUAACCUAGGGAUGCCGAUGAUUGGCGCCGUCAUGCCAUCUUCCACACUUACAUCAAGAUUAAUAAUAAGGGCUAUAAAGUUAUCGUGGAUAGUGACAGCUACAUUAAUGCGAUUUCGAUGGCUACUGUAUCCCGUCUAAGGUUGAAGUCUGUUCCUCACCCUCAGCCAUACAACUUCUGUUGGGUUGAUAUCUCCUCCAUAGCUGUCAAGGAGCGUUGUUUAGUCCUCAUUCAGUUUUUCGAGUAUAAGGACCAUAUAUGGUGUGACGUCAUUUCAAUGGACGUCGGGCACAUCAUCUUGGGACGACCUUGGUUAUUUGACCUAGAUGUAACCAUCUAUGGUCGAUCCAAUUCCGUUCCUUCGUGUUUAAUGGAAAGAAGAUUCACCUUAACCCACUGCCUCCGAAACCUGUUGGCCCACUAGAAACGAAGAAAAGUGUGGAACGAAAGGGUUGCACAUCAUUAGUCCUAUGGAGUUUGAGCGUACACUUGUUGGUGACUCAGUUGUGUUCGCUUUGGUGGUCAUGGAGGUCCCAUCACACUCCACAAUAGAGAGCCCUGUUGAAGUCCUAUCGGUCCUCCAAGAGUUUCGAGACGUCUUUCCAGAGGACUUACCUGAUCAACUACCUCUACUAAGAGAUAUUCAACAUACCAUAGACUUCGUUCCAGGGAUAUCCCUCCCAAAUUUGCCUCAUUAUAGGAUGAAUCCUACUGGGCACACUGAACUUCAAAGGCAAGUGGAUGACCUCCUUCACAAAGGAUUCAUUUGUGAGAGUUUAAGCUCGUGUACUGUUACUGCCCUGUUGACGCCCAAGAAGGAUGGUUCUUGGAGGAUGUAUGUGGAUAGUCGCGCGAUCAAUAGGAUUAUGGUAAAGUAUCGUUUUCCUAUUCCUAGACUUGACGAUAUGUUAGACAUAAUGGUUGGUACCACAAUCUUUUCGAAGAUUGAUAUGAAGAGUGGAUACCAUCGGAUUCGAAUUCGCCCAGGUGAUGAGUAGAAGACCGCGUUUAAAACGAAAGAUGAUCUUUAUGAAUGGCUGGUCAUACCUUUUGGGCUAAGUAAUGCACCAAGUACCUUUAUGUGGGUAAUGACACAAACUCUCCGACCUUUCAUGGGAAAGUUUCUUGUUGUCUACUUUGAUGAUAUCCUCAUCUAUAGUAAGUCUAAGGAGCAACACCUUGACCACCUCACACAAGUCUGCUCUACCCUUCGUGCAACUAAUCUAUAUGCUAACGUCAAGAAGCGCUCUUUCUUCACCAAGAAGUGAUGGUUGGUACUGUAUCCCGUCAAGAAAUGCUCUUUCUCACACAGUAUUUUUUUGGGUUUCAUUUUCUCUUCGACAGGAGUAUCUGCUAAUCCUGCUAAGGUUCAUGUGAUUAUUGACUGGCUUGAGCCUAAUGCUAUUCAUGACGUCAGAAGCUUUCACGGCUUAGCUACAUUUUAUUGUUGCUUUAUUAAGGAGUUUAGUACUAUUAUGGCGCCUAUCACGGAAUGCAUGAAGAAAGGAGAGUUUCGUUGGACACAAGAGGAGGCCAAGGCCUUUAAGUUAGUCAAGAAGUGAAUGACGGAGGCUCCUGUUAUGCGCCUUCCCAACUUUUCCAAAGUCUUUGAAGUUGAAUGUGAUGCCUCCGGGGUAGGUAUAGGUGGAGUCUUAAGUCAGGAUCGUCACCCUGUUGCCUACUUCAGUGAGAAGUUAGAUGAAGCCAAACAGUGGUACUCAACUUAUGAUAAGAAACUGUAUACAGUGGUCCAGGCUUUGCGCUAUUGGCGCCACUAUUUGUUACCCCAAGAAUUUGUCCUUUAUUCGGAUCACGAAGCCCUCCGUUACCUCAACUCCCAGAAAAGAUUAAGUUCUAGGCAUGGUCGUUGGGUCAAGUAUUUGCAGGCCUAUUUAUUUGUUUUAAAACACAAGAAGGGCGUAGAGAACCAAGCAACUGAUGCAUUAAGUCGUCGUGUCUCCCUUUUGUCGAUCAUGAGUGUCAAGGCCAUCGAUUUUGAAAGGCUUAAGGAGGAUUACGAGGCGUGUCCCGAUUUUAAAGAUAUCUUUCUUGAUUUACAAAGGGGACAAUCAGGCACCACAGAUGGCUUCCGACUUGAGGAGGGUUAUCUCUUUAGAGCCAAUAAAUUGUGCAUCCCUCGAACUUCAGUGCAAGAUUUCAUCGUGUGGGAAAUUCAUGCUGGAGGGUUAGCCGGUCAUUUUGGACGUGAUAAGACCAUAGAGGAAGUUGAACGUCAAUUCUAUUGGCCUAGCUUGAAGAAAGACGUGGCUAAGAUUGUUAGUACUUGUAACACUUGUCAAUUGAGUAAGCAGAAGAAGCAGAACACGGGUCUAUACACCCCUCUUCCUGUCCCUAAUUGUCCUUGGCAAGAUGUUAGUAUGGAUUUUGUGUUAGGACUUCACGCACCCCAAAGAAGCAUGAUUCUAUUUUUGUGGUUGUCGAUCGCUUCUCAAAGAUGGCUCAUUUUAUCCCUUGUAGCAAGACGUCGGAUGCGUCCAAGGUUGUCCUGUUAUUCUUUAAUGAAAUUGUCAAAUUGUAUGGGCUUCCCAAGACCAUCGUGUUUGAUAGGGACGUUCGUUUCACUAGCCAUUUUUGGAGAACUUUGUAGCAUAAGAUGGGUACCAAAUUGAAAUUUUCUACGGCCUACCACCCUCAGACUGACAAUCAAACUGGAGUAGUUGAUCGAAGUCUUGGUAACCUAUUACGUUGUCUGGUCCGGAAAAACCUUCGAAAUUGGGAUUUAAUCCUUCCUGCAGCUCAAAUUGCGUAUAAUAGCUCCAUAAAUCGUUCAUUAGGUAUGAGUCCAUUUGAAGUCGUUCAUGGGUACAAGCCUAGGAAAUCGUUAGAUCUCAUUCCUAUGUCCCCACAGGCUAGAGUGUCAGUAUUAGCCGAAACAUUUGCACAACAUUUUCGUGACUUGCAUAUUGAGAUCAAUAAACAACUUGAAGCUAGUAAUGCAAAAUAUAAACUCCAAGCUGAUUUACACAAACGACAUAUUGAGUUUAACAUUGGGGAUUACGUUAUGGUUCGCAUUAGGCCAGAGCGGCGUCUACAUGGACCUGCCUCUAAAUUGCAAGCUCGUAGUGCUAAUCCUUUUAAAAUUUUAAAGCAGGUUGGUCCAAAUGCAUAUAUUGUUGACAUUCCACCACACCUUGGUUACCACUCUACUUUCAAUGUUGAGGACCUUGUAGCUUAUAAAGGCCGUUUCAUUCCCUCAGAUGAUCCUCUGUCAUCUCCUUUUGUGGACCUUGAUCCUGAUUCUUUGGCCCCUUUUAACCUACUACCACCUCUCACAUCACACAGAAAAAAUUGAUUCUAUUUUAGAUGAAGAAACUGUGCUCACUAAUGAUGGAGAGGUUCAGCGCUUCCUUGUUCGUUGGGUUGGUCGACCAGAUUGUGACUGUGCAUGGAUCUCCAGGGAGACACUACAGCAAUUGGAUCCAGAUUUAUUAGAGUUUUAUCGGAGUUAGCAGGAUCUUCAUUGGCCCAGAUCGCCUCCCGUCUACCCGAGGGGAGUUGGUGAGGACACCAGGUUCAGACCGCCACUGAUACAUUUCUACAGAUUCCGGAAGAAGCUUGCCGAGCCACUCAGCCUAUGGUUGGGAGAUUGACGGAUACCUAUGGUGAUAUAGCCACUCGACAGGGUCGAGUUUUCUCUCCCACCCCGGGAGAAUUGAUGAGGACAUCCCAGUUUUAAUUAUUUUAGUUGGACUUUUAUUUCUUAGUUGGACUUGAGUUAUUUUAUUUUUAUGGACUUGUGUAUUGGGCUUGACCCUAUCUUUUAGGUUUGCAGUAUUUUCAGUAUUUAAACCUAUUUUACAUUGUUAUUGAGAUGAUGAAUUAAUUGAAUAAAAGUUGGCUACAGCCUCUGUGUUUUCUUCCCCCGGUUCUCCUUCUUCUCCUCUCCCCCUUUCUCCUUCUUAUUUCUUGUUAUUCAUCCUACAUCACAUAGUCUAGUGAAUGGAAAAUAAAAAUAUUUUUUAACAAUGAUAAAUUAAUUAUACUAUUAUCUUAUGCUUGUUUUUUAAGGAACUAUUUGUCAAUUAUGUGGUUACAAUACAAUGUUUAUUAGCUGUGGAAUUAAAAAGAUUGUAAGGUGAAUAUUUGUUAAAUGGAAUGUGAGAUAUGUCAUAUUGGAAUUGACUAGAAAAGUAUCCAUGAUUAUACUUAUUCUAGUGCAUAAAGCAGUCUUAACCGUGUUCUAUACUGCAUCGAGGUCUCACCGUGUAUAUACAGUUCAUUGAUGAGUCUUAAUCAUUCAUCGAGGUGACCUAAGGCCUCUGUCAAGGGUCCUUAGCUAGAGGAACCACCCACGUAUGACCUAACUUUAUAUUUCAGUUACAAGGUACUAAUUUGGGAUUUGAGGGAUUAAGAACGCAAUUGGCCGGGAGACUUACAAUCAUGAAAAAGAGUUUGAAUAUCCAUUGUUGGAAAUUGGAUAUUGAAUAACAACAAUGACUUGGAUUUUUAUCUUCCUUUAUUGUAAUCAUAUGUUUGGAUUCAUAAUUGGCUAUUAGGAUGAAUGAUGUAGCAAAGGUAAAUAUUAUUUCUGGACAAUAUCAAAAUGUGCCUAAAAGUAAAUAACUAAAAUUAAAUAGUUAAAAGGUACCCAUUUAGUUCUUGAUUUAAAAUCUAAAGCUUGACUUUUGCACAAGUACCUCAUGACAUUAAGAAAUAUGGUUUUGGACAGUGGCAGAUCCAGGAUUGUAGGUCAGCUAUUGUGGUCGUUGGGCGUUAACAUAAAAUCAUAUACAUUUGAAAGUAAUCAUUGUAUUAUUUAACAUCUCACAUGCUCAACUCGAUGUAGUGGUGGGUGUAGAUGUAACAUUAGAAGAACUAGGUUGAGAAUUUCGUUUCGAUUGAAAAAAUCGUGCCAUAAUCUAGUAUAAUGGUGGUAGGAAAACACAGAUUCUAGUUAGAUUUAUCUCUGGUUUCUCUGAAGAAACCUACAUGUGGAGGUUACAUAGCAAAGUGUUCUUGUCAAGUCCUGAACACAAGAAAGUAUUGAAGAAUAGAAAUUAAGAGCUUUAAAAAUCAAAUGUAAUUUAAUUAGCAGACCAACAUUCCUUGUAGAGUAAAACUAAAGCUUGAGGUAUCCCUAAACACCAAAUCUAAAGAUUGAAAACUCACAAUAUACUUGAAAAACAUAAUUGCUGCAAGUGGAUUUGAAUCUGUUCUUAAAAUUUUAUUACAAAUCACAAAACUAUUCAAACGUAUGACUUACAGCAAUCAUUUCCAAAAUCAUAUGUUGAGACAAGAAAAAGGAUCUUACUAUAACACUGAAUCCAGUAACAUUCGUAAAAGAAAUAGCAAUUGAGGCGCUGAAUAGUUCAAAUUCGCCAAGAUGCCCCAACAUCAUCAGCUCUACAACCCGCAAAAUGUACUGAGAAAGUGUCACCACUAGCAUCGAAAAUGCUAUAUUAUUCACCUGAUUCAGCUCUCUUGCAAGCUGCCCUCAUGUACUAAGCAUAGACGCAUGGUUUGCUGCCGGGUUCGUUUGGAAUUGCAAUUACAAUUUGGGGUGUGAUUUCUAAUUCAAUACAAACUGAUCCCAUAUUAGAUUUUUAGAUUGACCUUUUUUAAAUAGAAACAAUAGGCCCCAUUCCAACAAAGCUCACAAUUAAGAGAGAGAGAAAGAGAGAGAGAGAGAGAGAGAGUCCAAUCCAAUUGCUUUCAUCUUCAACCUCAUGACCUCCAUCCUUAGCUCUUGCGUGAGUGUGAGUGCAUCUUUAAGUUAUAUGCAACAACUCCGAUGGAUCCAUCAUGCAUGGCCGCCCCCUCAUCGUGUGAUGGAUUUGACACUAGUGAUGGAUUUGACACUAGUUUUGGUGAGACUGCCCGAUAUAACAAAAUUUUACUUUCACUGUCAACACAAGUAACGGCUAUGAAAAGAACGGAGUUGUCUAUGAUUGGUGUCUUUGUUGAUUACAGUGGCCAUGGGAGCUUCUCUGAGAAUCCCAAUCUCAAUAAUAUCGUGGGGCACACUUGCAUUCUUCCACUCUUGUACCGUACCAUGGAUGAUUAGUCUUGAAAAUAUCUCCAAUCCAUAAUAUAACGUUGUAGAAAACUAAUGUUCUUAUUUAUGUUAACAUUAUAGGAUAAUAAGCCACAGGACUCACCAUCAAAAUCAUGGACAUGUUGAAAACGACGAAUCAUGGGUACCAGUAAUGUUUUCCAUAGAUUCUUGAGCUUUUCUUGAUUCAUGGGUACACGGCAAUUUUUGUUUGUCUUUCUUUUAAGAAUUUGUGGUAAUUUGUGGUUAUGAUUUCUUAACUGGAUGGUCUAAUUUGUGUCCUUGCCAUUUCUUUUCUCAUUCCAGUUGUCAGAGAAGGUCUACAAGAAUCUGGAUUUGUCAAUCAAAUUCCUCAGAUACAAAGUCCCUUUUCCCCUGUUUGCAUAUCCCCUGUAUCUGGUAAGGUUGCCUAUGAGAUUAUUACAGUUAAUAAGAGAUUUUAAGUGUACUUUUUUGAUAACGUGGUAACAUUAGACAUAAUAAAAGGAUCAUGUCCUGCUCAAUAAUUAUGUAGAAUGGAUUGGACAAUCCUCACACGAUUAAGAGAGUGCUGCUUAAUUGAACUUGUGUUUUGUUGGUCUUGUAUUGCAGUGGUCUAGGAAUCCAGGGAAGAAAGGUUCACACUUCAAUCCUUACAGUGAUUUGUUCAAAAGUAGUGAGAGUUCCAACAACACCACCCCAGUGGAUAUUGGUGAGACAUGCUAGAUGUCUUCUCCCGCAGAAAAAAAUUGAGGCCAUGGCGCUAGAGAAUUUUGAUUAUAUAUGGAAAAAGGAAGAAAUUACAAAAGGGAGGAACUUACAAAUUUACUAGAAAAAUGUUAAAUCUGAAGACUCUAGUGAUAACUCCGAGGCAGAGCCAUUUGGUAGAAUAUAUAGUGGAGCAACACUUCUCCAUCCGUGUCUUUGGCUUAUUAGAAUUAUUUAGACACAAUCUACAUUUUUUUUCAUUUCCUAAUAAACUGUACUUCUUUUUUUGGUUUAUCGAAAUUAUGGAAAACGUGAUUACGAAUGUAUUAAUGUAAGUAAUUUUGUUCUUUAAUUAUUUUAAUUAUUAUAGAUUUGAUGACAAUCAAAUGAAUAAAAAUUUGAAACAAAAAAAUUGAUGUUUAGGACUCUUUUACGGCUUGCAUGUGUAUGCCAUAAAAUGAGGCAUCUUUUACGGCGUGCAUAUGUAUGCUGUAAAGAGCAACAUCUUUUUAGGGCGUGCAAAUGCAUGCCAUAAAAAGUCUAUCAACGGUGCACAUUCCCUUUUUUAUAGCAUUCAUUGUACGCCGUAAAAAAAAUUGAGUAUUUACGACAUGGCUUUAUACGGCAUUCACGUGUAUGCCGUAAAGAACUUUUUACGGCAUGCAUUGUAUGCCAUAAAAAGCAAAUUCUGUUGUAGUGAUUUUUUUAAACUUUAAUGAGCUUUUUAUUUCAAAUUUUCAAAAAUCUCUCCCCCAACUAACGUACUUCAUCAUCAAUAAAUUCAAAAUUUUAAAAUCAUGAAAGUCUAAAUUUCACUCAAAAGUAUUAAUACUUACAAUCAUGAGAUUUUUUUUCUAGAAAUUCUUGUAAUUACAUUAUAUAUAUAUAUUUUUUAAUUAGAAUUGAGGUAGAUGGGAUAAGCAGUUGAUGUUAUGCUUUAUUGUGAUCUUGAUAAUAAUUGUUGCCAUAAAACUUAAAAAUUUAAUUGUAGGAAUAAUUUACAUGAAGAACAAGAGAUACCUUUAAAGGAGAAGUAAGAAAAAAAAUAAAAAAGGAAAAAGGAAAAUAAAGAUUCUACAAGAUUCAAUACCAAUUUUGUAGUGUAAGACUUAUCCGACAAGUUUAAGAUUCCUUUCUUUUACUUAAUUUUCAUGUUUUGGGUUUUACAGUGCUACAUUGAGGAUAAUGUAGGAAUUUAGUUUUGGGUGAAAAUUCUAGAUUUUCUUGUAAUUUAAUGACCAUGACUGAUUUUGUGUGAUUAAUUUAGGCGUUAUUAUGAGUUAGAAAAGCAUAUAUAAAACACUAAUAUUAAUAAAAAUUUGAAAAAAAUAAAAUAAAAAAGAAAUGACAAAUUUGAAAAACAAUUGCACGUUUGUGUGUAACUUAACUUGAAUGAUGUGAUACAUAUCCAAUAAUAAGAUUAUUUUUUAUUUAUGAUCAAAAUUUGAAUUCGCUCAGGUGAACUUUCGAAUUUCCAAUAAUUAUUUGAAUUUCAUUAUUUUAUACUUGAAUUUUAAAUAAAUUGAGCACAAAUUCAUUUUUUAUUUCAUUUAUGAAUAUCUUCAAAGUUGGUUAUAUAAGUUAACAACCUUAAAAGUUUUUAGCACUACUGCACAUAUUUAUUACACUAAUCACCCGAGUUAGAAACAUAUUGAAAAUCUAUUUAGAUUAAGUUUGGGAUGAUUAGAUUGAUCCAAAACUAAGAACAUAAUAACUUUAUUAUUCUUCAGUUUUUAUUGUUGGCCUAAAAAAGUGAAGGACACUUUACUAGUCGUGGAACGUAGGAAAAAUUACUUAUAUUUAAGUAAUUUGGAUCCAUUCAACAACAAUGUUUAAGUGAUAAUCUACAGCGAAAGAAGAUGAUCUAUAGUGUAGAGCGAAAAUUACUUUUCAAAAUUAGAAAGAUCCCAAAAAUAAUAGAAAAGACGAAAAAAUUUGAAACAUACCAAAGUGUGUAGAAGUAGUAACAAAACAACUGUAAGUACUGCCUCUGUUCGACGAAGUCUUGUUCAUUGAUUAGGAAUUUUGAAAGUGGUGGAGUUGAUGAUGAAAAAUAAGCCCUAAUUCACUUGUUUAGUUUACCUUCAUAAAAAAUGAAACCGAAAAAUCAAAAAAGCUAUACGAGUGAUAGGGAUUAAAUUGACAUACUUGGGGGCAGUUUUGUUGGGAAAAGAAACUUUGAAAUCGGAAAUACAUGACUUGAUUGAUCAAGUAGUAAUUGUGGAAAUGAGAAUAUUUAACUCACUCAAAAACCUAAAUAUAUGAUAUAUGAAGUUUGUGAAAUGACUGUUAAUUCUUGUGUUUCAUUAACUUGUUUGAAUGUUGUGAUUGAGAUAUUCAUUUAAAAAAAUAAAAUCAUAUAUAUCAAGUUGAGUAUACUUGUUUAGAGUCUAGUUAAGUUUUUAUUGUGUUUUAUCCAAGGACGAAUAAAAGUUUAAAUUUGGAGGUAUUUUAUAAGCAUAAACAUUACCGGUAUAAAUAUUAAAAGUGUGAAUAUGACACUAAUCUUGGCCAUCAAAUAUAGCUUUUGAAAAUUUUAUGAACUAGACACUUAACUUUUGGGUGUUUAUUGAUUAUUUUUAGAGAAAAUCCGACAUUGGACGAGAAUGGAUUAAAAGCACAAAUUGAGCAAUAAUAAUAAUAAUAAUAAUAAUAAUAAUAAUAAUAAUAAUAAUAAUAAUAAUAAUAAUAAUAAUAAUAAUAAAAGUUGGACAUAUUUUGAAAGUUGGGGAGCAAAGAGUCGUGUGGAAGUAAGGAACAAGGGUCAAACUGCAAAGUUAAAGUAUAAUUUUUAGCAAUAUGAAAUAUUCUAAUUGGACUAAAAUUAUAGUUUGCUAUCAUUGUGUACUCUAUUUUAGACCCAAUUUAGAUAUGUAAAUAGAAAUCAUUAAUUUCAGCGAAAAAGGAGGCUAGAUUUACAAUCUUGAGACGAAAUGAUACAUCAAAAUACAUUGAAUCCUUAGUAUUUAUAUCUCAAGUUGGAAUUUUAAGGUUGAACAACAAAAUUAAUCAGAAGAUUUACAAUCAUCUAAAAAGAGUUUGAGGAUCUAUUGUUGGAAAUUGGGUGCUCAAGAACAAAAGUUGCUUGGAUUCUUUUCUACAUUUAUUGUAAUGAACCUAGUGAUGUUUUUAAUCCUUUUAUUUUUUUAGUUCCAAUAAUAUGAUUGAAUAAAUAUUUGGUUGUUAGAAUGAAAGUUGUAGUUUAGGUAAAUAUUUUUUUGACAAUAUUUAGACUUGCCUAAAAGUUGAUACAAUCCUUUUAGUUUUGUGCAGUGUAAUAACUAAUAUUAAAUAGUUAAAGGUUAGAAAAAUGUGUUACUUCCCCGUUAAGUUCUUUUUUUAAAGUCUCAAGCUUGACUUCUACACAAGUGCCUCAUAAAGUUGAUUUAACAACAAAUUGCAAUCGUCCUCCAAAUUUUUACAUCGACCUUCUCAAAGUAACAUGACUUGCGUUCAUCCCCCUAUUCGAACUUAACGAUAUAUACUUCAAUCAUCUUAUCAGGUUUAAUAAGAAACUCAAUUUUUUGAUCAAACAAUGAAGUUGGAGGGUUGCAUUCUGAUUCCACAUUUUUUUUUUUUUUUUAAUACUGCUAAUUCGUGUUAUCCUAUUAUGAUCUAUGUUUUAAUCUCUACAUGUUCGUUAGUAUUGUUGGUCUCUAGGUUGAACGACUAGUCUACUUUCUAUAAUUUUGGGAAGGUGUACAAGGAAAUUUUCAUUAGAAGGUUCCAUUACUUGUUGAGGAAUAGUAUAAUUUUCAAUAUUUUGAUCUACCGGUCAAUAAAGAUUUAACUGUUUGCUCAUAUGCAUUGUCUUGUAAUGUAUACUCCGAUAAUGCUUAUAGUAAUCCCAAUGGAAAAUCAUUCUCAUGAACUUCAUUACACCUUGUACUUGAAAAUCUCGUAGUCUAUAAAGAACUUCCAAGGAAAGGUCAUCGUCAUCAACUUCGUAAACUGUACCAUAUCCAUUUUUUGUUGAGCUAUUGCUUUAUUUCACUCAUGAAACCAAGAGAAACAGGUACAUUUUGUGGUGAGAUCUCCCAAUAUAGUGUGGUGUGAUGUGAUGAGAUGCACAAAUUUCAUAUUAUUAUACUAUGAAAAUUGUAUAAUAUUACUUAAUUGAAAGUAAUGUGAAAUAAAUGUUUCGAUUAUAUUUUUGCUUACUGUUAAGACUGCAUUAUAAGAAUAUCUCAUAUCUUAACUAUAAUUAUAUGAUUUAUACUCAGAAUUUUUAAGUAAUACAAACUCCAUUUUUGUUAAAUAAAUAUAAACGAGAAAAUAUAGUUAUUUUCGAAAUUCUCCGAGCAUUAAGCCUAUCAACUCAUAUAUUUUUUCACGACUUUUCUUAUUAGGUAUAAGUUCAUUUUUUGGACGGAUUUCGCAAUUCAGCCUGGAAUUUGUAAUUAGAGCCACACGACAGUGUUAGCUAGAACUACUCAUUUCAAAAGAAAGUAUUCAUUACUUUGGGAGGCAUGUUUGUUUUUGAAUAUCACAUUUGCAUUAUUUGUAGAUAGCAAGGCAGACGUACUACGUAUUUUGCAUCCAAGUGUUUAGUUUAUGUUGUUUAAAUUUAAUUGUUUUAUAGUGGAUAUUGGAAGGGAAAAUGUUUCCUAAUUGUUGUUAUUAUUGGGUAGGAAUUUAUGCAUUUCAUUACAGGUUGGUUAGUCCAAAUUACGUAGGAGAUAAUAUUGAAAGUUUCUUAAAAAUAGCUCAUAAAAGUUGCAUUUGUAAUAUCCUUAAUGGUGGAUCCUGCUUUUAGUUGAUAUCUAUUUUUAAUGUGCGUAAUGUUCCGGGUCUGCUAGAGUUAUUAGGGUCGGGUCCUGUCAGUUUGGCAUCAAAGUAUGCAUGGUUCAGAGUUUAUAGGCUUGUAUUUUACAUUCAUUCUUUAUUUCAGCUUAUCAUUCAUACUUGUAGGUGAGUUAUGCACCAUGGUGAAAGAACUUCUAGGCUUCAAGGUAUGUUGCCCAGACUCCUGUUGUUCUUGAUAGCGAUGACCUUAAACAGACUAAAAGAACUGAUGAAUCUGAAUGUCUGGGACCCCGGAAAAUGUAGUUGAAAAUAAUCCUAUUGCUACUAUUGUUUCGGCUAUGCGUUGUACAGAUAAAGAUUUCUGUAUUGAGAGCGUGAUAAAAAUGGAGGCUAACGCUAGACAGCUGAUCUUGCAGUUUCUCAAGCAUGAUGAUUAAGAUUGAGAGAGUUUUUGUUGUUAUGGAUUGCCGCGAUCAUCUACAAUGGGGGCAUAUGAUAGGUGAAAGUCAAUGCAGAGCACAUAUCAGGACAUUUCUAUUAUUACUUGGGUAUAUUUCAGAUGUAUCUUUUAUGAUACUUAUUAUCCUCAUUCCUAUAAAGAUACAAAACUGGGUGAAUUCUUGAAGUUAUUGGACUUUUGAAGUAUGCAAAAGCUCAGGUUGGCAACGAAAUUGAUAAAUGGACGAUUUGAAAAUGAAGAUAAGAUAUCAGAUCAGUGGUGAUAUGAUAUCCACUGUGUGGAGCAGAAGUUAUUGACAAGCCAUCCUCAACUUUAAGCAGGUACCUCGACAAUUGAAGGAGAGCUCCCUGCCCCACCAAAGUGCAAAUCUCCAACCUAAUUUACAACAAUCCAAAGUAUUAUGUACCUUUCAACUUUCCUGUGUAAUUUUACUCAAAUAGUGCAGGAGUUGGAAUUGUGCCCUUGUUACACCAAGGUAUUAUGUACUUUUCAACUUCCCCCAUUGGUUGUAACCGGCUGCCUGAUUGAGCAACGGAGUCGUAAAUUUUGUGACUUUCAGCUGAGUCAUAGAAUCCGUUACCAGCAAGAAGAAAGCUAAGGAAUAAUGGGCUUGGCUGUUAUUUCAAGACACCAUUCAUGAGCCAUUUAACUAACAAAAAGAUUGUUCAUCUAUUAUUUCUUGCAUCUGAUCACCAUUAAUAAGCAGUUGACACAAUGAACAUUAGACGCUGUCGGAAAAUUUACAAGAGGUGGAGACAGAAAAUAUACGAAAAUGAAAUAAGAAUCAAACACAAGAAAUGAAUAAGAUGGAAAUCAAUUAAAAUCACAAAAUGUAAAGAAUAAACCCAGAAUCAGAAGAUUGAACACGUUAAAAACUUGUUCAAAAGCAAUAAUUGCCACUUUUCCAUAAGAUUACUUAGGUUAUUCACUGGCAACUAGCUUUGAGGAUUAAUCAAGUCUUUAAGAUUUUUCAUCAAGAAAUAAUAGUCAUGAGAGGCAGUCCGAAAUUAUACAAAAAAAAAAGAGAAAAAUCAAAGGCAAGAAAUGUGGAAGAUGGAGAUCAAACAGAAUCACCAAAAAUGAAAGAAUAAAGAUGGAAUUAGUGACCUGAACGUAUAGAAAAAGCUUUUCCUAUAGUGAUAUUUUUCUCGUCUCGUCCUUGAGAUUGAUUACAGGAUGCAUUAGCAAAUAGCUUCAAGGAUUAAUAAAGUCUUGAAAGUUAAAAACUUGACUGUUUUGAUGAUUUCGAGUUAAAUACUUGAACGACUAAUGAUUAAAAAAAAAUCUCUUUUCUUUAAUAUUACAUAAUUUUAUCCACUUCUAUUGUUUAUCCUUCGAAUUAACAUAAAUUGGAGUCCAAUUCUUUAUUGAUUCUUUUCCUUUCACCAAAGAAGUUAUUCUUCUUAAUUUUACUUAUUUUGUGAAAUUUCUGAGCAUUUAUAUGCAAUUUUCUGUGUGCUUAGAAUCUGCACAAUUUCAAAGUUCAUAGAAGUACAGAACCAUAACUAUCUAAUGCAGGUUUUUUCUACUUAUUUAACAAUUUUUUUAUUCUUCCAUUUCAUAGAGCACACAAUUGAUCCACAAGAGUUUUCUAUUCUUCGCCUUCAAAUUAUAAUGGGAUCUCACCAUUCAGUUUGGCCUUAUGCAGCUGCUUGAUACAAAUUGAGAUCAAUCCACGGGCUUGAUAUAAUGAGUUUUGAUACCGAGUGCAUAUUUGAUAUCAAUAACUGCCAUUAAAAUUACUUUUGUCCGAUUUGUGGCAAUCUUGUAAGUACCCUAUUGAAGCAUUUUAGUGAUGGUGCACUCAUCUUUACUCAUAAACUUUGAUCGUCACACAGAACAAAUUAGAGCUGGUCAAAAUUUUCAAAUCGAACCGAGUGAUUCUUCUUAAGUUAAAUACUUGAACGAGUAUCUAAAUCGAGAAACCAUGGGUUUGGUUCAGUUCUCGGUUCUAGAUCAAAAAUCGAAGAAUCGAAUCUCCCUAAUUUUUUUAAUUAAUUUAUUUUAAAUCAGCCAAAUUAUUUUAUUUUUUCUAAAUAAAUUUGCUAACUAGUUCAUUUAGUUCAAAACCAAAGACAUGAUUUCCUAUUUCUAAUUUUCAGUUCAAAACUAACUUAAUCAAAUUGACCUAAGUUUUAUCUAAAUCUGUUACUCUACUAUAGUGCUGUUUUUACCAAUAUGAAGAAAUUGAAUUGAAGCUCAACAGCGCCUUUCUUAAUAAUUUUGAGUUUGCUAUCUUCUCUUUCUGUGAUUUUAACAAUCAAAUUUAUGAAGAACUCUACAAAGAGACGCAAAAGAUACAUAAAAUUGGACUACGUUAUUUUAUAAGAGCUAAGAUUGAAUAUAUCAUUGAAUUAAUGUAACUUUGUAAAUAUUAAAAAAUUUAAUUAUAAUACAGAUCCUAGAAAUCGAACUGAAUGGAAUCGAACCCGAACAGUUCCAUUUAUUAAAUACAAAAUUUUUUUUGGGUCAAAUCGAUUCUAACGAGAAUUGAACCGAGCCGGACCGUGUCCAACCCUAGAACAAAUGGUAGUUGGACCAGUCCUUAUGAUGGAUACUAUAUGAUAGAAUGAGCUUUUAAGCUUAAUUCUCAACUUAGGGUUGGAUAUAUAUAUAUACACGCGCGCGCGUGCGCGCACACUCAAAUUAGACAGAAUUUUUUGGAAAAAAUAUUAUUUUCUUUAUUCCACUCGCUUUUAUUGGAAAAACAUUAUUUCCUUUAUUUCAUGCAUUUUUAUUGCAAAAAUAUUACUUCCUUUAUUCCACGUGAUUUUAUAUAUUGUUACCAUCUUUGUGGUGUUUCUAAGAUUUGGCAUGCACCGUUAUGAACACAAGAUUCUUUUCACAAGUUUUGUUUUGCUAAAUAUAAAAUAAUUGUCUAGACACAAUUAUUUUAUUUGUUUUAUUCAUAUUAGUUAAUUGAAUAAAAUACUCCAUUAUUCUGUCAAUUAAUUAUUUGACUUUUAUUUUAUUGUUUGUUUGCAAUCAUAUACUUCAUUUUCUGUCAUAUAUAUUACCUUCGAUCUGUUUUAUUUUCCAACAAAUGAUAUCAGAGCUAUUGGUUGUGAUUUAUUCAAGUUUUUUUUGUUAUUGAUGGUAGUCAUGAAAUAUGAAAUUUUACUCUUGGAUUGCAAUACAAAAUUCUCGUAAUGGCAAGUAAAGGUGCAAGUUGUACUCACACAAAUGGAUUUGGAUGUUGUAUUUUUUGGACUUUGACAAAAUGUCAACAACUUGGACAACGGAGGAGAAACAACACAAGGAUCGGAAAACACUUCAACAUCCAUCGCUUCUAACAAUAUUCUUGAGAGCAUUUUGAAGGAGAAAACAGUAGCUGGUUGUGGUUGAAAUCUGAGUGUAACGCCCCGAAUUCUCGGAACCCCAAGUCUUAAAAAAUCAAUCUUACUUUGGUUCGAUCUCUUUGAUGUUAAUCAAAAUAAUUUGUAAAUGAGAAAAAAUUUUGAAUUUGAGAUAUAUAAAAAUAAUGAGAUAUAUUUGUCCAUAUAGACUUAGAUAAUUAAGGUGAAGUUUGAUUUUGGAAAAAAAAAUUUGGGGAAAAAAUCAACAAGUACCAAUUGCGCAGUAGCGAAAAGAAAAAUAAGUUCAGCCUGGCAAACGCCAGCUAAAAUUAUGAAAUUUUAUUAGAGUCUAAAACAUUCAUAUUUGCAAAACAUAUAAAAAUUUGGGGCCUCGAUGAUGAUGUUUGAAACACGAAAAUAUUCUUCGACUAUGUUGGACAGAAAAUUUGGAUUCAACACGACGCAAUUUACUAAAGCAGGCAUAGCUUUUUCUCUAUAUUAUAUGGAAAUAUUACUUUAUUUCCCAUUAUACUUUGUGAUCAGAGAGCUAUCUCAUGCUCUCAAGUCUCGGAGAGAAUCCAUUUGUUGUGACAUUUUCUCCUGGACAACCACCUAUUUUUUCAGGAAAAAAUCAAACUUGAAGGUUGCUUAAUUACGCAUGCUAGUCUUUAAAAAUGGGUAGAGAUUGUAACUGUAAAUAUCUAUGCAUGAAAUUGAGUUUUAUUACCUAACAAAGCUAUUAGUGCAUAUAUAUGUUGCUUUUUCCUUUUCACGAUCUUCUUCAAAGGAUAUAUACAAGCCAAAAACUUGUAACAUUGCUGCAUACUGAUUUAUUAUGUUACGCAUCCCAAUUUCAAUCCAAUGGCAGCACCAUGCUGAAUAAACUGAUUUAGAGCAUCUCCAGUAGACAUUGUAUUUUGGAAGAGCAAAUUCUACAAUUUAUAGAACAUCUAUAAAUUUACGAAGUAAAAUUUUUUUAGUAUUUCUGCUAGGGGUGGGCGCAGGUCGGUUCUGUUCGGUUCUAAAGAGAACCGAACUGAACCAAACCGAACCGAACUUUUCGAGUAUCUAGUAAAUGGAACCGUCGGGGUCCAAAUAUAAUUAUGGAACCGUUCGGGUUCGGUUCCGUUCGGUUCUGUACUAUAAUUAAAUUUUUUAACAUUUAUAACAACAUUAUAUAAAUAUAACUAAUGAUACAUUCAAUGAUUUUGAGAUGUCAGAUACUAGUAAACUACCUUGUUCAAAUGAUCGCUACGAUCAAAGCUUCGGUUGGCGAAUGUCACAGCUUCGAUCGGAGAUCACAGUGUCGGCCGAUGAUUGUAUAGGUUUUGGAAUAUUAGCAAGGCUGCGAGAGUCGAGACAACGUUAUGCACUUUAGUGUUGGUGUUUAAGGUUAUUUAGUGGAUUUGAUCUUGUUUGGCUAAGAAAUGAAACAAUAAAAUGGGUAAUUGGGCCAAAAAUUAAAAAAUUAGAAAUGAAACAAAUUAUGGGGACAAAAAUUUGGAUUUAGAAAUCGUUAAUUUGUUAAUUUGUUUAGAAAAAAUUAAAAUUAAAAUAAUUUGAUUUACUCAAUAUAAAAAAAAUUAAAAAGAUUCGGUUCUUAUUCGGUUCUUGAUCUAGAACCGAGAACCGAAUCGUACUCGUUGGUUCUCAAUUCAGAUACCCGUUCGGGUAUUCAAUUUGAUAAGAACCGUCGGGUUCGGUUCAGGUUCGGUUCGGGAGAUUUGCCCAGUCCUAAUUUCUGCACUCUUCAUAUUUAGAAUUUCAUUUUACUACUCCCCAAAAAAAUAUGUAUUGUUUUUCCAUGUCUUUUAUUUUAACUAGCUUCCAUUCAAAUUAUUAUAUUAUUUUCUUCCAUUGAAAAUUGAAAUACUUUAAAUGCAUUUAAUCUUAAAAAGUGAGUUUGAAAAUUAAAAUGUUAAUUUAAAAAGUCAUUUAAAACAUAAUUUUAAGAGUUGACUCUUUAAAAUAAAGAAGUUUUAUGUUUAAACAGUCUUUUAGAGAUACAGACGGAUUCUACAAACACAAAAAGAUAUUCACGAGUUGUAUUAUAUUUUGGACAGAUUCUACAUACACAAAAAGAUAUUCACGAGUUGUAUUAUAUUUUGGUUCGACAGCAACUACAAGAAAUUAUGCACAAGUUGUACUUAAAAUGUUUGUUUGACUAAUUAGAGACUUGCCUUUUCCUAACAGCCCACAAAAAGAAUACUAAUUUACAAUUAACACCUCAACUAUACAUCUCUGCAGCUAAGACUAUGAAAGAAUUUCCCCCUCUUCUCCCUGCAAAAUUGCCUCCUCUUCAUCUUCUUCCAUGUAAUCAUCUUUUAUGUAUAACCCAAUCUGCUCCAGGGGAUUUCUCAAGUUACCACUGCUGAAGCCUCCAAUUAUUGCUUCAAACUCCUCCAUAAUAUUUCGAUUCUCAUCGAUAUCAACUGUUUUUCCCAUCUAAAUAAGAGUGAAACAAACAUCAGUAAAUUUAUACCCAGUUUGAUGGCCAUUAUUUGAUGAAAACAAUGUUUUGAAUAGUGAUUUUUAGGAGCAUUUAUGAUCAAAAAAUAGGAAAAAUAUUAGAUUUACAUGCAGAAUAUUUUAUUGUAUGAAUUUGUAGUUGAAAAUAAGUAUAUAAAAAAAAGUUUCCAAUAAAUGAUUGUCAAACAGGGGCUAAAUUUUUUUGCUAUCAACGAGGCAAAUCAUAACAAAAACCACACAGGAUCAAGAAAAAAAAAUAAAAAAAUGGACCUUUUCUAAUGCAAUUCUGGCUGCUUUUCUUUCCUUCUCACGCUUCGUCUUCAACUCCAUCUCUACCCUCAUUCGGGAGGCUGCUACAGCAGUUUUAUUUUCAGCUGCAAUCCUAGCCUUCUCUGCAGAAGUUCAAACAUCCAGUGUAAACAAAACAUUGCCAAAUGAAGAGAAAUACUAAUGAAAUACUUGUACCGUAAAAGAACAGAAUGAAAGUAGGAUAUUUAAAUCAAAAUUAAUGACACGUCUUUCAUUCACAACCAGAAAAGUUUCACAGUUCACACAAGAGUAUAUAAUUAAACUAUAUUUUCAGCCACAUGCCUUGUGUCACAUCUACUGACCAUCAAGAAAAAGAAUUUCAAUACAAGACAAGAAGAUAUACAGAUGUCCGAAAAGGCAAAUAUUACACUAAAAGCUCCAUAAGAAGGCAACAUUUUAACACAAAAAUAUGACAGUACACCAUAAUAAUGGAUCAAGGAUAUACUUAGAUCACCUUCACACUGCUGCCUUUCCAGUCUUUCCCUUUCUUUUUGCCUACUCAGAAGAUUAAUCUUCUUGUCCUAAACAGAAAUCAACAGAGACAGAUAUUAGUAAGUCCACAAAAUGAAGAGCUCAACCAACAUAGUAUGUAAGCCAAAUUUCUGCAAGUAAUAAGAAUUCAUUACAUGAUCCAGGAGAGCAUGAUGUCUAGCUCUGGAGAUAGUAUCUGCGAAGCGGCUUUUCAGCAUGGCAGCACGCAAAACCUUCUUUGGCGACAUAUUAACAGGGGAAGUCCAUCCUAAAACAAAGGCAUAUAUAAAUCAAAUCUCCAUAUUUCCAAGGUGUGAAUGAUACUACAGUAGUUUUGAUCUUGGAAUUUGUAGAGGAAAAGCGACCUCAUUUUCUUACACGCGGAACUGAUAUAUGCUUGUCUGGGUGUGCCAGUGGGAGUAAAAGGUUAAUUUCAAAAUACAUAUGGACACUGAGCUAUGGUCUUCCACAAAGAAACUAAAAAAUGCACUUCCAUAUCUAGAUAAUAGUUACCUUUAUCAAUUGCAGCAGUUGUGGCUGGGGAAGAGACUCUUUGCUGAAAAUUGUCUUCAUUGGGAACACAUUCAUGCCCUAAAAGACAAUGGCAUUUCAAAUCUCAAAUAAUCAAAAAGCAAGCUACACAAUUGUAAACAUAUAGGUAACAACUAUUGCUCUCACCAUAUGAAUCCAGCGAUAAUCCUCUUGCUUGAGAUGUCAAAGGAUAUUUAACUUUACAAUCCUGAUGUAAAUAGACACGGUAAAAAUCAACAAAAAGUACCACCAUAUAUUUAAAAAAGAAAUUAUUUGGUGAAACGAGAAGAGUCUAAAACUUACAAGUUUAGAAUCACUAGAGUGAUCACGAUCAGAUAAUCUUUCUGAAGAAAAAUCUGAAACAAGAUGCAAUAUACUCCAAAUUAGUUGACACGAACACGGAUGCAACAUACUACAAGUUGUUAUAAGAAUUUAACUCACCACUAGAAGAUGGCUUAACAGGACAUCUGAGGCUACAUUGGCACGUCAGACUGCCACAUGUAGCACAUUUGACUGCAGGGAAAUAAAACGGUUGCUUUUUAUUGGAAGUAGCAAAUGCACUUUGAUUUCCAUUAUCUGCAUACGAGAUACAUGGCCAAUCAGUCAUGUAAAGAACCAGAAAGCAUAAAUUUAUUCUGUCACGUCUCUAACCUUUAUGAUAAGUUUUCACUAGCCUGGGGCACCCACUUUGUGUUGUUCUUGCAGGCUUCCCCUGUUCAAAAUAACAUACAGAAUCAACAAUUUAUGUAAAGAAAGGUCUAGUGACCACAAACAGGAGCAACAAACUAAGGAUAGAGCAAAGGAAGUAAGUGCAUGACAACAUUGUGGCAAUCAGAAAACAAUGCUGUGCAAAAUUGAUAAAGGAAGAAAACAUCACACCAAUACACACAACCAGAUUGUCUACACCAUUACAUUUACUCACCUUUCCUUCUUUUACAUCCAAAGAAACCUUUAUUGCUUUUUCCAGCUCUAGUGAAGUUCCUUCGUCGAUCACGUUCAAUUUUGCCUUCAAUAAGUUCCAUCUCCUAUUGAAGAGAUCAUUUAAUUCCAUCGCGAAGUUAUAAACGUAGUUCCCAGGAGGAUUGUACACCAUUGCAUUGGAAAAAGUCAGCGUCACAUCCCUAGCAAAUUCCUCUGCAUCAAAGUAUCUAUUUUCCUCUAGUUUACACUUUAUCUUUCCCAAAUCCAUUGGUUCGGUGAUUAUUGAAAAAUAAUCCGGAAUCUUCAGCUUCACAGGAUCAAUUGGUUGAUUGAAAGCAAAUCCGUGAGGGUGCCCCAUCAACAAUCUCAAAAUUUUACUAUAUUGCUCUUUGAAACUUUGUUCUGUCCUCUGCUUUUUCUCCCCUUGGCACUCAAGGAUCACUCCGGGUUUACGCUUGUUAGAGUUGCCUGACUUAGUAUAUUUGACUGGAAUAGAUUUUCCAUUUGCAUUAACUCCAUCUCUACAUUCAUUAUUCACUAUCAUCAUGAUGUUACCACUUGACUUGUCUUCUAAUUCACACCGUUUUCCUUUUGAAGUGAUUUUGAACUUUAUGCUCCUCUGCACAGUAUUAUCAACAGCAACCAUAGUGGAGAAUUGUAACUGCUGUUGUGGGGAGCAGGUUAGAUUUCAAGAUUGAUUCUCAGCAACUAGAACUGUUGGACUGCACAUUAUUUAGAAGCAAGUAAGAAUAUUAUUGUGGGCCGAACAAUAAGCAAACAAAUGGAUUUUUUUUUUUUUUUUUAAUCAUGAGAAUUGGUAGUAGUUAAUUUCACAUAAUAUGUCCCACACAAUUUAUUACUUUGGUCGCAGACCCAUUAUCACAAACAGAAAUAGAUAAUUGAAGUAGUGAAUUAAAUAAAUAAAAGGAGCUACAGAGAAACUAAACUUUUUACAGUAUAAGGUAACCAUUUCAAAAUCAAAACUAAUUUUUUAUCUGAAAUACAUAACACAGAACAUAAAAAAUAAAAAAUCAACUUCAUUUUUUACAUAGGUAGUAGACAUCAAAAUAUCAAUAAUCAUUAAAAAUAUACAUAUCAAAUAACGAAAAAGGGGGAAAAAUCAAUGGAAAUAAAACAUAAAAAAUCCAUACAUUCCAUAAAUACGAUUAGGAAAAAAAUAAAAAAUAAAGCGCCAAAACUAAGCAACAACCCACUAACGAAAUCAUUGGUUGUAAUAUCUGUAAGCAACAACAUAAACAAUAAUCUACAGGGGCGAUGGCAAUUAGGGUUUAUGCAAGGGGAAAAUCAUAAGCAACCACAUCAAAAAUUCUAGAGAGACAUUGUCAAGAAAAAUCGCUGUUGGGUAAGAAGAAUACAAACAAGAAACAACAUUUUUAAAAAAAAAAAAAAAUAAAUAAAUUGUAAUUAUAAUAAUAAAUUCUGUGGAUCAAAUCAAAUUAUUCACAACAAUCGAUUUGAGUAAAAAUUAACAAUCAACAUAUAAAGCCCGUUUUUACACACACUAACCUUUCAAGACGAUCGUCUGUCGGAAAUCCCUUCCCCCAAUUCUAUUAGAUCCACUAACAAUUCAGUUUCAACAACUUUUGGAAAUUGUAACAAGAAAUAUUUCGAAUUGAAAUUUGGAAAAUUAUUGAUGUUGUAAGGUAGGAUUUGGGAUCACUAAUGGGGCUUGCUUUUGAAUUUAUAGUAACCGUUGGCUCAGUCCUCAAAAUAUUUUGUUUGUCCCCAACUAUUGUGAUGGGCUGUAUGGGUCUUACGAUAUUGAGUUAUGUCGUUUUUGCCCUCCAUCUAUUGUGAUGCAUCGUUUUGGACCUCAAAUCAUUGGGAUGGGUCAUUUCGGAAAUCAAACUAUUGAGAUAGGUAGUCUUGACCCUUAAACUAUGGAGAAGCAUCAUUUUGCCCUUCAACCAUUGAGAUAUAUCCUUUUGAACCUCCAAUUAAUUGCGAAGGCCAUGUUGUUUAUCCACCUAUUAGGGGUUUUUUUUUAUCCUAUACCUACAUGGAUCGCUCGUUUUUGUCAUUCACAUAGUGGGAUGGGACAUUACAGUCCUUCACUUAUUAAGAUUUUGUCAAUUUGGUUCUCUAGUUAUUGAUUAUCAUGUUUUUAAUAUUCUAACUAUUGAGAUGCAUUGUUUUGCUACUCCAUCUAUUGAAUUCAGUAGUUUAGGUAAUCCAUCUAUUACGAUGCAUAUUUUUUGUCCUCCAACACUAAAAUGAAUUGUUUUAGUCCUUCAGCUAUUGUGAAGUAUUGUUCUCUAAGUCCACCUAUUGAUAUUCUUAGUUUUAGGGCAUGUUCGAUAGUAAUCCUGAAAAUUAUUUUUGAUUUUUAGAGAGAAAAGUGGAUCUUACUUGUAAGUGAAUAAGUAAAAAAUGACUGUUGGAAUAGUGAAAUAAUAGUUAAAAUUUAUUUAUUUUUUGGUGAAAAAUUACUACCAAAUGGGAACUUAACCUCCAACAAUGAAUUCCAUUUGUUUUGACAAUCAAUUUAUUGAGAUGUGUUGUUAUGGUCCUCCAUCUAUUGGAUGCGUUCUAUUGGUCCCCAGAUAUUGAGACAUAUUGUUUAGGUCUUUCAGAUAUUGAGAUACGUCAUCUGUGUCUUCCAAACUACUUAUAUUUUUAUUGUCCAUCUAUUGAGCUUCCUAGUUUUAAUCUCCAACUAAGAAUUUCAACACUUGGUCUAUCCAAUUAUUAAAAUUCGUUGUUUUGUUCCUCCAUCUAAUGAGAUACGUUAUUUUAGCACUCCAACUAGUUAAAUAAAUUAUUUUGGCCCUACCACUACUGGAAUGUGUAGGUUUGGUCCUCAAACUAUUGAACUACAUAGUUUAAAUUCUCAAUCAAUUGAGUUGUGUUGUUUUGCUUCUUCAUCUAUUAUGGUUAUUGUUUUGGUCCUUCAUAUACUUUGACCCUCCAAUUAUGGAGAUCGGUCAUUAUUGUCCUCCAUCUAUCAGGAUGGGUCUUUUUGAUCCUACACCUAUGGGGAUGGCAUUUUAGUCCUCCACCUAUUGGGAUGGGUCGUUAUGGUCCUCGAGCUAUUUAAAAAAGUCGUUUUGUGCUAUAAUUAUCGUCUAUAUUCUUUUUAGUUCCCCCAACUACUGAGAUGCGUUGUUUUAGUCAUCCAACUAUUUUGAAGCAUCAUUUCAGUUAUCCACUAUUGAGAUCAUGGUUUUGGUCCUCCAACUACUGAAUUCCAUCAUUUUAAAAAUCCAAUUAUUAAGACGCAUUGUUUUGGUCUCCAUCCAUUAGGAUAUGUCGUUUGUGCUCUCCGACUAUUUAUAUUCCAGAUUUUGGUCCAUACUAAUUAAUUAAAUGUUGAAGAUAAGAAUUCAACAAAAAAGUUAGAGAAAAUAAUUACUACAAUGAACAAAAAUUGAGGAGUUUAGCCACAAUUAAAAUGUAAUGUAUCAAUUAACAAUUGUGGUGAUAAUAUAACCAUCCAAUUUUUUUUUUAUAAUAUUAGUUAGUAAUUUGAAAAUUAUUCUAAGUUAAAAGAGGAAAUCAUUAUAUAAAUGUAUUAUAUACAUGUUGCACAACCAUAAUAAAAUUAUUAACAAGGGUCAAACUUAGUUGAGAAUCAUCCACUGUAAAUAAUGAUAACUGCUAGUUAUUAAUUGAAGAAAAAUAGGAAAUUUUGAUGCCCUUUCUUUUUCAUUUUUGUUAAAGUAUCAAUAAAUCUCAUUUUUAAAGUUUUAUAAUCAAAUUACAAUUUCUUUCACUUCUAAAUUGGAGAAAAUGAUAUUUCUUUGAACAUAAAUUUUUGAAGAAAUGAGAAAUAACCGCCAAACUAAUUCUAAAUAGACAAACAACUUUUAUACGAAUGGGUUUAUCAGCUCGCAACAUGUAAGUGAUAACAUCAAAAUAUUUAACUCAUUGUACUUUAAUUUUGGAUUACAAAUUUACUUGCGAAUUAAUAUUGUACUUAGAUGUUUGAAAAUGGGUUUAUCAUACUCCCAAUUUCACAUUAUCAAAGUAUAGAAAAAGGACAUCAACGGAAGAAUUCAUGAAAAGGGAACGUGAAGUCACAUUGGAUCAUUUAAUGGAGGAAUUAAACUAGUCGUACAAAAUGAACUUACAUGUAGCAAAAUUGUUAAUUGUAGAACUGACAAUUCUACAUUAAAUCACGAAUUUAAAUUUGUGGCGAUUGUGGGUGGUAACAGAAGAGGACAAUAAAAUACAAAAUCAUCUCAAAAGGAAUAUAACAUCAAUCAUAUGAGAAAUCAAUCAUAUGAGAAAUCAUAUGAAAAACAUCACAGUGAUAAUAAAAAAUGAACGCAUAAAUGGAGUUAAUGCAAAUAAAUGAUUUGAUGAAUAGCAAAAAAUUUAAUUAGACUAUAAUAAAAUUUGAAACUUGGUUUUCCAUUGUUGCUACAUGACAUGAAUUUUUUUCUUUUUCAAAUUUUUAAAUUUUUUAUUUUUUAAACUUCUCAUAUGGGUUAGACGUUGAUACAAGAUAGAUAAACUGAUUUAUCUUAAUUGACUUAUCAUGGUUCUAUUAAGUUGUUGAUUUUUAGUUGAUUAUCUUUUAUUAUUCAUAAUUUACAUGUAUAUACAACAAAUAUUAUAUGUCAUUAUCAUUAGACAAGAAUAAAAUGAAACAAAGCAAAUUGAGGUAACAAGGGCAUGUGCCAAAAUAAUUCUAAGUAGACAAACAACUUUUAUACAAAAAGGGUUAUGAGCUCGGGACAUAUGAGUGUAUAGCGUCAGGAUAUUUAACUCUUUGUACUUUAAUUUUUGGACUACGAAUUUACAUGUGAAUUCAUGUUGCACUUAGAAGUUUGAAAAUGGGUGUUAUCAUACUCAAUUUCACAUUCUCAAAAUAUAGAAAAAGGGCAUCAACGAAAGAAUUCAUGAAAAGAGAACGUAAACGUGAUGUUAUAUUGGAUCAUUUAAUGGAGGAAUUAAUCCAGUAGUACAAAAUGGAUGCACAUACAUCAAAAUUGUUAAUUGUAGAACUUGCAAUUCUCCUUAAAUCACGAAUUUAAAUUUGUGGCAACUGUUGGUAACAUAAAGUACAAAAUCACCUCAAAAGGAAUAUUGCAUAAAUCACAAGAGAAAUCACGUGAAAAACCUCACAUUGAUGAAUGCACAGAUGGAGUUAAUGCAAAUAAAAUAUCUAAUUUAGUUAAAUUUUCCUAGUCAAGUAACUCCAAGAAGCGUAAGGUUGAGUGAUCCUUGAGUGUCAAAGGGGAUAAAAGAAGCAUAGGAUGGAUUGAAGUUUCAAGCAGCAAUGUAGUAGCAUUUUGAGAUCAUUGAUGGGAACCUUCACAGAUCUUCUCUAAAUCAGCCAAUUGAUCUACUGCUGUUCCAAUAACUAUUGAACCAAUGAAUUUAGGAACGAUAAAGCAUAAACUAGAGGACAAUACAUACUUUGAUGCAGAGGAAUUUGCUAAUGAUGUUAGGUUCAUUUUGUCAAUGUGAUACACAACAAUCCUCCUAGGAACUAUGCAAAGGAAUUGAAUGAUGAUUUCAGGAGAUGGAAAUUACAGCAGACAAAAUUGAAGUGCACGGUAGAAAUCUCGAACGGUUAUGCAAUGUAGAGGAAGUGGAAAGAAUGGCCAAGAUACAAACCCAUUAUAAAAAAGAAAGGCCAAAAUGCAAAACAAUAUUGCCUUAAUAAAGCUUUACGGCCACAAUAGGCCACAGUCUUUUAAGAGCAAAAGCAAAAUUUGAGGAAAAAAGCUUUUGAAAAUAUCAAGCAGAAAGAUAGUUGAAGCUUUAAGGUCCGUGUUUGAAAAGUUUUGUAUGGCCAGAUUGAGAGAAGAAAAACUCGAUUCUUAUAUUGACAUGAUCGACAAUGAAACUUUUCCCAAGCUGGACAGAAAGAGCAAUAAAGAUUUCUUUGGAUGAAAUAAAAGGAAAGGUGAUAAAUUCAAUGUCGCAGACAAGUCAGCUGUAUGGUAUGAUUCUUUCUUCUUUGAGAUAUUCUGCAUUAAUUUGAAGCUGAAGAUUCCUUGCUAUUUUGAUGUGAACCAACUGCAUCUUGAGCAACAUCUACUGAUCAUCAAAAAAUAAAAAAAGUUAAACACAAGUUAAGAAUAAUGCUAUCGAGCACUAUUGGUGCUAAAACACUAGUUUAAUUUAUUUUAGUUUAGUUGGCAUUAAAGGGUAAGUCCAAUUAAAGUUAACUAUAUGAACGAAUAUAUAAUCUAUUUAACUGGACUUAUCGUGUUUUAAAGCCUCUAGUGCCGAAUGGCGUUUCUACUCACAUGAUAAUAAAAGCCCAGUAAGGCAAAAAUCGUACGAAAAGUUUCAAAGGUUCAUAGGAAGGAAAAAAUUUUUAACACAAAAAUAUGACAAUACACCAUAAUGUUAAAUCAAGGAUAUGCUUAGAUCACCUUCAUGCUCCUGCCUUUCCAGUCUUCCCUUUUCUUUGUGCCCAUUGACAGGAUUAAUCUUCUCGUCCUGAACAAAAAUCAACAGAACAGAGAUAUUAGU
rnacentral:lncRNA from 1 species